rnacentral:lncRNA from 1 species
AAGAUGUACCUGGGACGUCGGGCUGUAGCUAGAAGGGCGGUUGGGAGGCGGCAUCGCCCAUACCGCGGGGACCCCCGAUUGGGACGCACUGACUGUGGGUUUUCUCCCUCGCCGAUGUCGACUGCGUCUAUGCAGAACAUCGUUCCCUUCCCCCAACAUCGUUCUAUGCUUGUGAAGAGAGCAACCCAAGCAAACAGGCUUGUAGCUUAGGCUCCUGCUAGUGUAUAUAUAGUGGUUUUCUUUUUUCUCUCCAUAUCAACCAUUUUAUAUUGCGUACGUGUCAUUGAAGAGUGAAAUGAUGGUUGCUUCUUCCGACUAACUUACUGUGUGAUUUGACUGCUCCUUAGUGGCCCCUACACGUACUCCCCCUACGUGUAUGACCGUUCCGGAGUCUCACUUGUACUUAUCUCUAUUUUCUUGCAUGACACGUAGACAGGAUGCGCAUAGAGGAAUUUUGUCACUUCAUGUUGUUACAUAGUACUACUAGUACCUACUCCCUCCUUCCGGUUCACUACUGGUACUCCCUCCGUCCUGGCUUAUUGGUCCCCUUUGUACUCAAUUCAUGGGCUCGUUUUCCUCAAGAAAUUGUCUUUACCAACUAAUAAUAUUGGGAAUGCAUGCGUGAACAACGAAUGAUUAAACCUUGCAUGCAACGUUUUGACAAAGCAUUGACUUAUGAACAUGUGAAUGUGAGGGACUACAACCUCGUGCAUGCAUGCAACAGUCACACGUACACAUCGACGCAAAAACGUGCGUGACGCCCUAAUGCAUGCAUGUCCGAGCACACGACGGAACACAAACGGUCACGCUCAAGUGCUCAACCUACACGUGCAUGCACACACAUACUCAGCCAGGGUGAGCUAGUGACCGUAUAAACACCAGAAAAUGUACAUAUUGAGUGCAAUGAGCGUAUUAUGAAGUCCACUGACCGUAUUUUUUUAAAUAUACAGUGACAGACAGUGUAUUUAUCUCGUUUGAAAUUUAGCCAUAUUAACCGGAAAGGAGGCAGUAUGGACUAGCAUUACUUUGUUGUGUCCCGUCAACUUGCCGAACGAGGAGAAGCUUGCAGGACGGGAGAAGCUUGCGUGCGGUGGCUCGCAGGACAAGGAGAAACUUUUGACUAAUGUAAACUCUCCUUCACUCAGGCGGUGGACGUGCAACAUUUAAUUCGCUGUCAUAUUGCCAGAAGUAUACACUGUACUAGUACCAUUAUUGUUCGACUUCCCGAAGAGGCGAACAGCCAAGUGCAAAGUUUACUACUACUAGUACUAGCACUACUAUAGAGGUAUGUACUACUACUAGGAACCGGAUGGAGGAGCGCCUGCACUCUUAUUUUAUUUUAAAAUGUGAUAAAGCAAUCUUCAACACAUUUGGUUCUCUUCGAGGGUUCUCGCAUGUGAUAAUGGACGUUGAUUGCAUGGAACACUCGCCACAACUCUUUCUUAAUUCUGGCUCAUAUCCUGUUACAAAUAGGAGCGCUCGGUAAUAUUUUCUCUUUUUUUUGUUAUUCAGCAUGUAAACAGGUCAGCAAACCUUGCGGCGCAUCUUUGUGCGAACCGUGCUUGCUGGCCGAGAGCUGGCUUGAUGAAACACCUUGCUUCCUUCUUCUUUUUUGCGGGGUACCUCGCUUCCUAGUGACCAGUCUCUUGGUUGAUCGUCCUAAGAAUGCUUAUAUAUGAAAAAAGCUCUCUCAUUUACCUGCAAAAAAGAUUAAGCCAUAUUAACCGAAAAGGAGGGAGUAUGGACUAGCACUACUUUUUGGUGUGUCCCGUCAACUCGCAGAACGAGGAGAAGCUUGCAGGACAUGGUGAAGCUCGCUUACGCCUUUUGACUAAUGCAACCUACCCUCACCCAGGCGAUGGACAUGCAGUAGUUCAUUCGGUGUCAGAUUGCCAGAGGCAUACACUGUAGUACCCAACAUGCGGAGUACCAUCAUUGUUCGACUUCACGAAGAGGCGAAGAGCCAAGCGCAAGGUUUAGUAGUACGAGUAGUAUUACUACUAGAACCGCAUGGUGGAGCGUCUGUACUCUUAUUUUAUUUUAAUCUCUGAUAAAGUACACAUUUACUCGGGAGAAGCGCGGAAAAUGGCAGCCCAAUAGUAGUAUUAAAAAACAUCGAACAUGUGAUGAUGAUAUCGAUCAACCAUGCUCGAAUAUAUCUUGGCCUCCGUGCGAGCCCGUCUGUGUGUUCUCGAUCCUCGUCUCUCUCAAGGAACGGCGGGUUGGCCAUUUUGCCGUCAAUUGAGAUCGGUUUGCUCACACUCCGGUCCCACAUGUCAGUGAUAUGCCAAGAGGAAGUGCAUUGACCGACUGGCCAUACGCGUACUUGGUUUUGCACCUUCAUUCUACUCCUCCCUCCGUCACAGUUUAUAGGGCGUGCUUCAUUCUGAUGCAUUUCUCUCCAUGCAUUUCCACCACCAGAGAGAUUUUAGACGCGUUUGGUUUAAUGCUCAAUUAAUUAGGGCAUGGUAACCGCAAUCAAGUCCACAAUUUUCUCUCGAUGUACUACGGAGUGGAGUAAGUGCAUGCAUGUGUGUACCCGAGGUGGAAGCACUGCAUGCAUGUGUGUACGCAUUAUUUCCUCUAGUAAUAGACGCCGUGCUAUAACUACCAAUGCUAUUUUUCAGGCCGAUCGCUAGCCGCCUUGGUCCCAGAGAUUUUUUUGAAGCGCGCUCUAUAAACAGUGGCGGAGGGAGUAGUAUGAGUGGAUUCAAAGAAGAGCGUAUUGAUGGUUGCUUCUUCCGAGCAACUUACAGUGGGAAAGGUGGGGCUUAUGAUUUGACUGCUCAUUACUCACUAUUAGUGCGGCGCAACGACCGGGCACUACUCCCUCUGUUCUUAAAUAUACUACGGAGUAUUUGUCUUUCUAGAGAUUUCAACGAGUGACUACAUACGAAGCAAAAUGAGUGAAUUUACACUCUAAAAUAUGUCCAUUUGAAAUUUGUAAAAAUACAAGUAUUUAGGAACAGAGGAAAUAUAAUUUUGUGCAUGGCACAUGGACCUGGAUGCUAAAGAGGCUUCUGGCAAUGCUAUCAAGCUUCCAGCAUUUGUUUACAUAAUUGACGUACUAUACAAAUAAUUUUCUAGCAACAUGAAAUUGUACAAUGCUCUAAGCUUUCAGCUUUUGUUUCGUGUGUCUUGCCAUCCAUGCUCUUUUGGAAACAAUAAAAAACUAACUUCCUUGCUAAUGCAUCUCAAUGAUUAGCAGAUCAAAGCUAAUAUUUACAUCACAACUGAAGACAAAGUUGUGAGAAGGUGUUAAAUUAAAAUUGAUCCAUGCUUUCAUUGCCAGCAACGUCCCCCCAGCUCUGUCUAAAUCAACAAGGCAUGUUGGGAAACAAGGUAGCUGUCUGGAGCAUGCAACAUUUCGAUCAUUUUGUGCAUUUCCACUAAAAUAGAGCUGAGCGUCCCUGUUCCAAAGAUAUUAAGUGUGAUUACAAUAAUAGAGGACUAUUGAUGAAACAAUAAACACACAAAUAGAAGCCGGUCACCUUUGUAGUCUCUCUUAAGACUAACUAGUUGGAGAAGAUUAAGCAAAUAGUUGGAGAAGAUUAGGCUCGGAGUUGGAUGAGGAGGAUAGAGCAAAACCAAUCUCCCUUUGUGCAGUCGCACUGAAAUGUUGAGACAUUGCCCGUGUGACAUUUUAGUACAACUGCACACAAAAAACUCUUAAGAAAAAAGUGAUUUGUUUAGUUCACCAAAAGGUCGCAAUAGCAACGAGGUGAAAUGGAUAGCCCUGUUUGCAAAAAAGAGGUAGAAAGGAAACAAUUACUGGCCAAUAAUAGUUGAUGACACAUACGACGACAAAAAAGAAGCAUAUUCCUUGCCCUAAGGGAAGAUAACAACACGGUUGUGUUUGUCUAAAAUGGUGUGAGGACGAGAUUGCACUAUGGAAAGUACGUCGGAUGAGCUACGUUUUGGGCAAAGAACUAUGGAAGAUCCACAUGCAGCGACGUGGGAAGAGGGGCAGUGGAGCAAGGCUGGAGGGGAUACCUGGGGGUCGUCGGGAUGUAACUAGGAGAGCGGCGGCGGGCGGGAUCUGCCCAUACUGCGGCAGCGAGCAGGUGGCGUCGGCCCUACCGCGCCGGAGCUUGGUUAGAGAGAACAGCGGGUACCGCAGAUUGGGACGUGUUGCCUCGGCGCCGUCGAAUGGAGAAACUAUGCACAUCCUCCCUUUCCGCCGGCGGACGGGAUGCGGCCGGAUCACUGACCAACGGUGAGAGAGAGAGAGGCCACCGCCGCCUUGUGUGAGAUACUCUGAAGAGAGACAAACCCAGGCAGGCAGGCUCCAUUGUAUAUAGUGGAGCGGACUACCUUUUUCUCCAUAAAAAUCGUUUUAUAUCCUGUGUACGUGUCAUUGAGCGAUAUAACUUUAUUUAAAAAUAAAGCGCCAACGCAUCAAGUCGAACAUUGUUUCGUGCACGCGUGGUACAUGACCUCCGUAGGUAAACAACCGCUACACGCGUUCAAAUUAGCACGUGGGCUGCCAUUUCGUACAGAAAUGAGCUCCACCGUGUACCCGCGCGGGUGUGGCUGGGCACGAAGCGUGAGUACGUGCACCUAUUCUCUUCAUGUAUGUACACCACCUACGUGGGGUUGUGUGAGAGAGAUACAAACGUAGAGAGAUAUAGUGUGUGGGUUCGUGAGUGUUUUUUUCUAGGGGGGUGUUGAGAAAUAGACAAGCAAUAUAUGUGGAUGAUAUUUCAAUCAAAAAAUGUAACAUGUGCAAUCUGUGUGAAAUAGAGUCCUAGAUAUAUCAUAUAUAUAGAGGGGGCGAUCCACGAGAAGAGAGUGGAGGUAUCAUUGGGUUGAGGUAUCCAUAGAAUCGAAGAGAGGGAUGAUGUGUGUGUGUGUGUGUGUGUGUGCGCGCGCGUGAUCGAUAAAGAGUGCCAUCAAAUUUAUGUGUGCCCACGUCAAAGAUAUAGGGUGGCUGGCCUACUGGAAUGUGAAAGGGGACAUGUGCAGUUUGUCUCUGUGGCAUGGAUACCUACCUACAGUGCUCGACUAUCGAUGUGUGGUGGGGGGUGGGGGAGACCUAAUUAACUAUAGAGGUACAAUGGCUGGUAUAUGUGUGGAGGAGGAGAGAGGCCUACCUUAUGUAUUGAGGGAGACCGAUCGGCAUCCAUGCAUAUGUGUAGGAGAGGAAUAAGGUUGGGAGAGAGACAGAGCUAGACUGUUGGAGGGGUGGUGGUGGAGUUGCUUCUAACAAAUGGUGGGAGAGGCUUGCUAGACAAAUGGAGGGCACGCCUGCAAUAUCAAUAAGAGAGGGGAUGGCUGCCUGUCUGUGCACGUGCGUGUGAGAGACGGGUCAGGAGGCAUGCACGAAUGAUGAGGGGGGACGAUAUGGCUGUGGUAAGCAGACAUAACUACAUAGGAAGAUCAAUCGUCCUUUGUUAGAGAAAGGAGAAACAUAACUUGUGAGGUACGUCGAUCAAUGGGUGGGGGAAAAUAGUUAAAGUCGGCCUAGGUAUAUGUACGGAGAUCGAUCAGUAUACAUGCAUGUAUGUGUUAGAAGCAAAUAAGGCCCGGGGAGAAGGAUAGAGAGAGAGGGAUGCAGCUAGGAGGUGGUGCGAGAGGCAUACUAUAUCAAUGGGGAAGGAGUGUGCGAGUACGAGAUCGAUGAAAAGAGGGGUGGGAGUGAGGCAUGGACGGUGAGAAGAGAAGAGGGAAAGCUUGUGUUUGUGGUAGGCACACCUGGCUAGAGAGGCAUAUCGAUCAAUGUGUGCCGUAAAGAAGGAGCUGGGGGCCUACACACACCGUGGGUGAAUGGCCUAAAGUGAAAAGACGAAUUUGCGCGAUGGAGCUAGAGAAUGCUGAGGGAGGGUGAGAGGGAUGCGGGUGUGUGCAUGCAUGAGAGAAAGUUGGCGCUAGCUACAAAGAUAAGAGGAUUGUGUGGGUGUAAAAGACGAAUAGAUAUCAUAAUUCAUUAUAAAAAGUGAAUUCAGAUAUUUGAAGAAUUUAUCAUAGUGUUCUAAACCGACGCAUGUGUGAAUAUAUAUAAUGGUGAUACACAUGGUGUGGUUAUGAACAUGAUAUACUACAUAUAAUAUAUUUUAUCUCUACUCUUAUAAAAAACAGAGUUGUUGAUGAUGGUGUGCCUGCCAUGUUGCAGUAUAGGCCGUCCGAUUUAUAUCUGACGGAUAGGAAGGAAACUAUGGCAAUUUUGAAAAAAUAUACCCACAACCCUCUCCACAUUUGCAAAUAAGGCCUCCCCUCGAUCAUCUUGAUGUUCCGUGGAACGCAUGGGCAUCUUGCUAGUACUACAUAUAAUAUAUAGAACAUUGAUUAUUGUUGGGGAACGUAGUAUUUCAAAAAAAAAAUCCUACGAUCACGCAAGAUCUAUUUAGGAGAAGCAUAGCAACAAGCGGGGAGAGUGUGUACACGUACCCUCGUAGACCGAAAGCGGAAGCGUUAAGUAACGCAGUGGAUGUAGUCGAACGUCUUCGCGAUCCAACCGAUCAAGUACCGAACGCACGGCACCUCCGCUAUCUGCACACGUUCAGCUCGGUGACAUCCCUCGAACUCUAGAUCCAGCUGAGGCCGAGGGAGAGUUCCGUCAGCACGACGGCGUGGUGACGGUGAUGAUCAAGUUACCGGCGCAAGGCUUCGCCUAAGCACUACGAUGAUAUGAUCGAGGUAGAAAACUGUGGAGGGGGGCGCCACACACGGCUAGGAACAAUUGUUGUGUGUUCUAGGGGUGCCCUCCCCACGUAUAUAAAGGAGGGAGAGGGAGGGAGGGAGCCUAGGGCGCGCCCAAGUAGGAGGAAUCCUACUUGGGCCCCUAGUCCAAUUCGGCCCCCCCCCUACCAUAUUUGGACAAGGGGGGAAGAAAGGAGGGGGGAGGGGAAGGAAGUAGGAGUCCUACUUCAUACUUUCGUUUUCCUCCUCUCCUUUCCCUUUCUCCCCACGUGGCUUGCCCUAUAGGGGGCGCACCAGCCCCUUGUGGGCUGGUGUGUUCCCUUACUUGGCCCAUAAAGCCCAUAUCUUUGCCGGGGGUUGCCCGGAACCCCUUCCGGUGACCCGGUAUCACCCGGAACACUUCCGGCGUCCGAAUAUAGCCUUCCAAUAUAUGAAUCUUUACCUCUCGACCAUUUCGAGACUCCUCGUCAUGUCUGUGAUCUCAUCCGGGACUCCGAACAAACUUCGGUCAUCAAAUCACAUAACUCAUAAUACAAAUCGUCAUCGAACGUUAAGCGUGCGGACCCUACGGGUUCGAGAACUAUGUAGACAUGACUGAGACACAUCUCCGGUCAAUAACCAAUAGUGGAACCUGGAUGCUCAUAUUGGCUCCUACAUAUUCUACGAAGAUCUUUAUCGGUCAAACCGCAUAACAACAUACGUUGUUCCCUUUGUCAUCGGUAUGUUACUUGCCCGAGAUUCGAUAGCCGGUAUCCUCAUACCUAGUUCAAUCUCGUUACCGGCAAGUCUAUUUACUCAUUCUGUAAUGCAUCAUCCCGCAACUAACUCAUUAGUCACAUUGCUUGCAAGGCUUAUAGUGAUGUGCAUUACCGAGAGGGCCCACAGAUACCUCUCCGAAACACGGAGUGACAAAUCCUAAUCUCGAUCUAUGCCAACCAAACAAACACCAUCGGAGACACCUGUAGAGCAUCUUUAUAAUCACCCAGUUACGUUGUGACGUUUGAUAGCACACAAAGUGUUCCUCCGGUAUUCGGGAGUUGCAUAAUCUCAUAGUCAGAGGAACAUGUAUAAGUCAUGAAGAAAGCAGUAGCAAUGAAACUGUAACGAUCAUAAUGCUAAGCUAACGAAUGGGUCUUGUCCAUCACAUCACUCUCCUAAUGAGGUGAUCCCGUUCAUCAAAUGACAACACAUGUCUAUGGUUAGGAAACAUAACCAUCUUUGAUAAACGAGCUAGUCAAGUAGAGGCAUACUAGGGACACUUAUGUUUUGUCUAUGUAUUCACACAUGUGCUAAGUUUCCGGUUAAUACAAUUCUAGCAUGAAUAAUAAACAUUUAUCAUGAAAUAAGGAAAUAAAUAAUAACUUUAUUAUUACCUCUAGGGCAUAUUUCCUUCAGUCUCCCACUUGCACUAGAGUCAAUAAUCUGGUUCACAUCGCCAUGUGAUUUAACACCAAUAGUUCACAUCACCAUGUGAUUAACACCCAUAGUUCACAUCGCCAUGUGACCAACACUCAAAAGGGUUUACUAGAGUCAAUAAUCUAGUUUGCAUUGCUAUGUGAUUAACACCCAAUAGCACUAAUGUGUGAUCAUGUUUUGCUUGUGAGAUAAAUUUUAGUCUGCGGGUCUGCAACAUUCAGAUCUGUAUGUAUUUUGCAAAUUUCUAUGUCUACAAUGCUCUGCACGGAGCUACUCUAGCUAUUGCUCCCACUUUCAAUAUGUAUCUAGAUCGAGACUCAGAGUCAUCCAGAUCGGUGUCAAAGCUUGCAUCGACGUAACUCUUUACGACGAACUCUUUAUUACCUCCAUAACCGAGAAAUAUUUCCUUAGUUAUCUAAGGAUAAUAUUGACCGCUGUCCAGUGAUCUACUCCUAGAUCACUAUUAUACUCCCUUGCCAAACUCGGGGUAGGGUAUACAAUAGGUCUGGUACAUAGCAUGGCAUACUUUAUAGAACCUAUGGCUGAGGCAUAGGGAAUGACUUUCAUUCUCUCUCUAUCUUCUUUCGUGGUCGGGCUUUGAGUCUUACUCAACCUUACACCUUGCAAUACAGGAAAGAACUCCUUCUUUGACUGUUCCAUUUUGUACUACUUCAAAAUCUUGUCAAGGUAUGUACUCAUUGAAAAAACUUAUCAACCUUAGAUCUUGAUGCUUAAUAUGUAAGCAGCUUUACCGAGGUCUUUCUAUGAAAAACUCCUUUCAAACACUCCUUUAUGCUUUCCAGAAAAUUCUACAUCAUUUCCGAUCAACAAUAUGUCUUUCACGUAUAUUUAUCAGAAAAUUGUAGUGCUCCCACUCACUUUCUUGUAAAUAUAGGCUUCACCACAAGUCUGUAUAAAUCUAUAUGCUUUUAUCAACUCAUUAAAGCGUAUAUUAACUCCGAGAUGCUUGCACCAGUCCAUAGAUGGAUCGCUGGAGCUUGCACACUUUGUUAGCACCUUUAGGAUUGACAAAACCUUCUUGUUGUAUCAUAUACAACUCUUUAAGAAAUCCAUUAAGGAAUGCAGUUUUGACAUCCAUUUCCAGAUUUCAUCAAAUGUGGCAAUUGCUAACAUGAUUCGGACAGACUCAAGCAUCGCUACGAGUGAGAAAAUCUCAUCGUAGUCAACAUCUUGAACUUGUCGAAAACUUUUUGCGACAAUUCGAGCUUUGUAGAUAGUAACACUACUAUCAGUGUCCGUCUUCCUCUUGAAGAUCCAUUUAUUCUUACUGGCUCGCCGAUCAUCGGACAAGUCAAUCAAAGUCCAUACUUUGUUCUCAUACAUGGAUCCCAUCUCAGAUUUUAUUGCCUCAAGCCAUUUCAUGGAAUCUGGGCUCAUCAUCACUUCCUCAUAGUUCAUAGGUUCAUUAUGGUCUAUUAACAUGACUUCCAGAACAGGAUUACCAUACCACUCUGGUGUGGAUCAUACUCUGAUUGACCUACGAGGUUAGGUAGUAACUUUAUCUGAAGUUUCAUGAUCAUCAUCAUUAACUUCCUCACUAAUUCGUGUAGGCAUCACUGGAACUGAUUUCAGUGAUGAGCUACUUUCCAAUUCAAGAGAAGGUACAAUUACCUCAUCAAGUUCUACUUUCCUCCCACUCACUUCUUUCAAGAGAAACUCCUUCUCUAGAAAGGAUCCAUUCUCAGCAACGAAUAUCUUGGCUUCGGAUCUGUGAUAGAAGGUGUACCCAACAGUCUCCUUUGUGUAUCCUAUGAAGACACAUUUUUCCGACUUGUGUUCGAGCUUAUCAGGUUGAAGCUUUUUCACAUAAGCAUCAUAGUCCCAAAUUUUAAGAAACGACAGCUUAGGUUUCUUGCCAAACCACAGUUCAUACGGUGCCGUCUCAACGGAUUAGAUGGUGCCCUAUUUUAACGUGAAUGCAGCUGUCUCUAAUGCAUAACCCCAAAACGAUAGUGGUAAAUCGGUAAGAGACAUCAUAGAUCGCACCAUAUCUAAUAAAGUACGGUCACGAUGUUCGGACACACCAUUACACUGUGGUGUUCCAGGUGGCGUGAGUUGCGAAACUAUUCCACAUUGUUUCAAAUGAAGACCAAACUCAUAACUCAAAUAUUCACUUCCACAAUCAGAUCGUAGAAACUUUAUUUUCUUGUUAUGAUGAUUUUCUACUUCACUCUGAAAUUCUUUGAACUUUUCAAAUGUUUCAGACUUAUGUUUCAUUAAGUAGAUAUACCUAUAUCUACUCAAAUCAUCUAUGAAGGUCAGAAAAUAAUGAUACCCGCCGCGAGCAUCAACACUCAUCGGACCGCAUACAUCAGUAUGUAUUAUUUCCAAUAAGUCAGUUGCUCGCUCCAUUGUUCCGGAGAAUGGAGUCUUAGUCAUCUUGCCCAUGAGGCAUGAUUCGCAAGCAUCAAGUGAUUCAUAAUCAAGUGAUUCCAAAAGCCCAUCAGCAUGGAGUUUCUUCAUGCGCUUUACACCAAUAUGACCUAAACGGCAGUGCCACAAAUAAGUUCCACUAUCAUUAUUAACUUUGCAUCUUUUGGCUUCAAUAUUAUGAAUAUGUGUAUCACUACGAUCGAGAUUCAAUAAACCAUUUACAUUGGGUGUAUGACCAUAGAAGGUAUUAUUCAUGUAAACAGAAUAACAAUUAUUCUUUGACUUAAAUGAAUAACCGUAUCGCAAUAAACAUGAUCCAAUCAUAUUCAUGCUCAACGCAAACACCAAAUAACAUUUAUUUUAGGUUCAACACUAAUCCCGAAGGUAAAGGGAGUGUGCGAUGGUGAUCUUAUCAACCUUGGAAUCACUUCCAACACACAUCGUCACCUUGCCCUUAACUAGUCUCUAUUUAUUUUGCAACUCCUGUUUCGAGUUACUAUCUUAGCAACUGAACCAGUAUCAAAUACUGAGGGGUUGCUAUAAACACUAGUAAAGUACACAUCAAUAACAUGUAUAUCAAAUAUACCUUUGUUCACUUUGCCAUCCUUCUUAUCCGCCAAGUAUUUGGGGCAGUUCCGCUUCCAGUGACCAUUUCCUUUGCAGUAGAAGCACUCAGUUUCAGGCUUGGGUCUAGCUUUGGGCUUCUUCAUGGGAGUGGCAACUUGCUUGCCAUUCUUUCUUGAAGUUCCCUUUCUUUCCCUUGCCCUUUUACUUGAAACUAGUGGUCCUGUCGACCAUCAACAUUUGAUGCUUUUCUUGAUUUCUACCUUCGCCGAUUUUAGCAUUGCGAAGAGCUCGGGAAUCUUUAGUCAUCCCUUGCAUAUUAUAGUUCACCACGAAGUUCCAGUAACUUGGUGAUAGUGACUAGAGAAUUCUGUCAAUCACUAUUUUAUCUGGAAGAUUAACUCCCACUUGAUUCAAGCGAUUGUAGUACUCAGACAUUCUGAGCACAUGCUCACUGGUUGAGCUAUUGUCCUCCAUCUUGUAGGCGAAGUACUUGUCAGAGGUCUCAUACCUCUCGAUUCAAGCAUGAGUCUGAAAUACCAAUUUCAACUCUUGGAACAUAUUAUAUGCUCCAUGGCGUUCAAAACGUUUUUGAAGUCUCGGUUUUAAGCCGUAAAGCAUGGUGCACUAAACUAUCAAGUAGUCAUCAUACCGAGCUUGUCAAACGUUCAUAACGUCUGCAUCUGCUCCUGCAAUAAGUCUGUCACCUAGCGGUGCAUGAAGGACAUAAUUCUUCUGUGCAGCAAUGAGGAUAAUCCUCAGAUCAUGGGCCCAGUCCGCAUCAUUGCUACUAUCAUCUUUCAACAUAGUUUUUCUCUAGGAACAUAUCAAAAAUAAACGGGGAGCUACAUCGCGAGCUAUUGAUCUACAACAUAGUUAUGCAAAUACUAUCAGGACUGAGUUCAUGAUAAAUUAAAGUUCAAUUAAUCAUAUUACUUAAGAACUCCCACUUAGAUAGACAUCCCUCUAAUCAUCUAAGUGAUCACGUGAUCCAUAUCAACUAAACCAUGUCCGAUCAUCACGUGAGAUGGAGUAGUUUUACAUGGUGAACAUCACUAUGUUGAUCAUAUCUACUAUAUGAUUCACGCUCGACCUUUCGGCCUCAGUGUUCCGAGGCCAUAUCUGCAUAUGCUAGGCUCGUCAAGUUUAACCCGAGUAUUCUGCGUGUACAAAACUGGCUUGCACCCGUUGUAUGUGAACGUAGAGCUUAUCACACCCGAUCAUCACGUGGUGUCUCGGCAUGACGAAAUGUAGCAACGGUGCAUACUCAGGGAGAACACUUAUACCUUGAAAUUUAGUGAGAGAUCAUCUUAUAAUGCUACCACCGAACUAAGCAAAAUAAGAUGUAUAAUGGAUAAACAUCGCAUGCAAUCAAAAUAUGUGACAUGAUAUGGCCAUCAUCAUCUUGUGCUCAUGAUCUCCAUCACCAAAGCAUCGUUAUGAUCUCCACUGUCACCGGCGCGACACCUUGAUCUCCAUCGUAGCAUCAUUGUCGUCUCGCCAACUAUUGUUUCUACGACUAUCGCUACCGCUUAGUGAUAAAGUAAAACAAUUACAUGGCGAUUGCAUUGCAUACAAUAAAGCGACAACCAUAUGGCUCCUGCCAGUUGCCGAUAACUCUGUUACAAAACAUGAUCAUCUCAUACAACAAUUUAUAUAUGAUCACGUCUUGACCAUAUCACAUCACAACAUGCCCUGAAAAACAAGUUAGAUGUCCUCUACUUUGUUGUUGCAAGUUUUACGUGGCUGCUACGGGCUUAGCAAGAACCGUUCUUACCUACGCAUCAAAACCACAAUGAUUUUUUGUCAAGUGUGUUGUUUUAACCUUCAACAAGGACCGGGCGUAGCCACACUUGAUUCAACUAAAGCUGGAGAAACAGACACCCACUAGCCACCUGUGUGUGAAGCACGUCGGUAGAACCAGUCUCAUGAACGCGGUCAUGUAAUGUCGGUCUGGGCCGCUUCAUCCAACAAUACCGCCGAAUCAAAGUAUGACAUGCUGGUAAGCAGUAUGACUAUUAUCGCCCACAACUCUUUGUGUUCUACUCGUGCAUAUAACAUCUAUGCAUAGACCUGGCUCUGAUACCACUGUUGGGGAAUGUAGUAUUUCAAAAAAAUCCUACGAUCACGCAAGAUCUAUCUAGAAGAAGCAUAGCAACGAGCGGGGAGAGUGUGUCCACGUACCCUCGUAGACCGAAAGCGGAAGCGUUAAGUAACGCGGUUGAUGUAGUCCAACGUCUUCGCGAUCCAACCGAUCAAGUACCGAACGCACGGCACCUCCGCGAUCUGCACACGUUCAGCUCGAUGACGUCCCUUGAACUCUAGAUCCAGCUGAGGCCGAGGGAGAGUUCCGUCAGCACGACGGCGUGGUGACGGUGAUGAUGAAGUUACCGGCGCAGGGCUUCGCCUAAGCACUACGACGAUCCGACCGAGAUAGAAAACUGUGGAGGGGACGCCGCACACGGCUAGGAACAGUUGAUGUGUGUUCUAGGGGUGCCCUCCCCAUGUGUAUAAAGGAGGGAGAGGGAGGGAGGCAGCCUAUGGCGUGCCCAAGUAGGAGGAAUCCUACUUGGGCCCCUAGUCCAAUCCCCCCCCCUUACCAUAUUUGGACAAGGGGGAAAGGAAGGAGGGGGGAGGGGAAGGAAGUAGGAGUCCUACUUCAUACUUUCCUUUUCCUCCUCUCCUUUCCCUUUCUCCCCACGUGGCUGGCCCAAUAGGGGCGCACCAGCCCCUUGUGGGCUGGUGUGUUCCCUUACUUGGCCCAUAAAGCCCAUAUCUUUGCCGGGGGUUGCCCGGAACCCCUUCCGGUGACCCGGUAUCACCCGGAACACUUCCGGCGUCUGAAUAUGGCCUUCCAAUAUAUGAAUCUUUACCUCUCGACCAUUUCGAGACUCCUCGUCAUAUCCGUGAUCUCAUCCGGGACUCCAAACAAACUUCGGUCAUCAAAUCACAUAACUCAUAAUACAAAUCGUCAUCGAACGUUAAGCGUGCGGACCCUACGGGUUCGAGAACUAUGUAGACAUGACCGAGACACAUCUCCAGUCAAUAACCAAUAGUGGAACCUGGAUGCUCAUAUUGGCUCCUACAUAUUUUACGAAGAUCUUUAUCGGUCAAACCGCAUAACAACAUACGUUGUUCCCUUUGUCGUCGGUAUGUUACUUGCCCGAGAUUCGAUCGUCGGUAUCCUCAUACUGUGACACCCAAAAUUUUAUUUGGCUUUUUCAAAACUUUUCCUUGUUUUGAGGGAGGUGAUUUGAAUUUUCUUUCUAAAAGAACUCUCCCUCUCAAAAUAUUUUCUUUUAUGACUAGUGCUUCAUUUUUGGAUUCACUCAAAACUUGAUUUCUGGUCUUGGAGGUUUUCUUUUUUUAUUUGGACUCAAACCAAAAUGUUUUUCUCUUGGAAAAAUGCCUUUUAAAAAUUUCUUUGAAAAGGCCCUAUAGCUUUUGGAAUAAUCCUUUACCACUUUCAACAAUUCUCUCUUGCCAUGGCCUUAGUGCAAAUCCACUCUCCUAGACCUUCCCUCAUCUUUGGAUCAUGAUUUGCAUCAAGUCCAGCAAGUUGAACCUCCCCAUAUGAUUAUUUUCCAUUUAAAUCUUAUCAAAACAAUUUCUGUCUCCUAUUCUAGCCCUUGGAGAUUUACAAAGGAGCUACCAUUUCUGUUUUGAUUUUUGCCCCCAAACCAAUUCCCCUUCCUAGUCCUUUGAACCCUCAACCAAGAUCCAUGAAGAUCCACUGGUCUUCAGUUCAAAUUUUUCAAACUAUACUUGCUGCAAGUUUGAACCAGAUUUGUCAAAUUUGGUGAAAUUCCUUCAAAUCUUUCUCCAAAAAUUCUGAGUAAAAUCAGGCAGCCCCUGGGUGCAUUGAGUGGUCACCUCACCAAGCCCCAGCUCCAGGAAAAAAUUUCUCCUUGCCAAAUCAUUUCGUCGAACACCUACUGGACACUGUUGCUGUCAUUGUUCAGUUAAGUUCAGAGAACAGUUCCAGUGCACUGUCGUUUUCUUCAGUGUUCGAUCUCAAUCUCGCCAGUGUCGUUGUGUCGCCUUGCUCCCCGUCCCCUCCCCCUUGUUCCUGCGCCGCACGAUCCCCUGGAGCCUUGCGGACAUCGGUGACGACCUGGAGGAGGUGCGCCGCCCCGUGACCGAUGCCAGCGGCGGCUUUGCGGCCGCCAGAGAGAGGCGCGGCGCAGACGGCGCCACCCAGCGCCGCCGAAGCCACCGGAGCUCGCCGCGUGGCCUUCCACUCCCCAGAAUGCGCUGCCACUCUCGUCGUGAACCGCUGGGCGCGGAACACGCUCUCUACCGCCGUCGUGCCCGUGCGGCCACCCCACCGUGGACCAGCGCCAUUAUGCCAAGCCCGACCCAGUUUAGCAGUGGAACGGCACCAGUAAACCUCCCUGAUGCUGCCUGGCCACUCAAACCCCCUGCUCAACCACUGCCUCGCCGUAAUCGCUCGCCGGAGAUUUCCCGUUCACGGCCAUCACCUCGAUCCGCCUAUAAAUAGAGGCCCCGAGCUCGAACUCGAACCCACACCAUCUCUGCACUCCACCUAGACCGCGCCAAGCCACUGGAAGAGCCCCGAGGGAGCCUUCUUCCCCAGCUCCGGCCGCCGCGACCCGCCACGGGAUCCAGCUCGAUUCGCUCCCGUGCGUGCACCUCUGCCUCCCAUCUCUUGCCAGUAGCUCUCUAGUGCAUCCCUCUUUCUGACCCGCGCUUCAAUUCGAGGUUUGCAGCACCCACCGGAGUUCUCCACCAUCACCCGAGCCGCCGUCCGCCGGAGAAAGUGUCGCCAUCGACGUGGUGCUCUCCGACGGUCGAGUCCACCACCCACCGACGCGGAAGGACACGCUGAAGCUCUUGGUACACUCCGAUCUCCCUGUCUCGCCGUGGUUCGACGCCGGCGACCACCGCAGUCUUCGGGCGCCGGCGAGCUUUUUAAACCUGACAUGUGGACCCCCCUGUCAGCCUCUAUUCUCUUCUCCCUCGAACCUUUUUCUGUUGGCGCCUUCGGGCAAAUACGUCUUCCCUUUGAUCUUGCGCGUUUCUUUCCGAAGCGUUUUCUGUUUUCUCAGUUAAGCCCCUGGAAAUUUUCUGUUUCAUUACAGAUGAGUCCCUGGACAGAAACCUUUAUAACUUUUUAAUAAAAAGAGAUUUUUGAGUGAUUCUUUUUUUGUCAGUCUUGUAUUUUUGUCUAGUUCUUUAUAGUAUUUAUUUGGAAAAAAAUUGGAGAAGUUUUUAUGCACGCGUUGGUUUUCACGUUAGUGCCCGUUUUCGUAUGCCGUAGGUUCCGGAAGAAGUGACGGAGCCGCGAACUUCGCCGAGCUAGACUCCGACUUCUCCGAACCAGGCAAGCAUGUUUGAACCUUUGAUAUGACAGGUGUUUUGCAUGUUUGCGUGAGAGGUUGUGCGUGGUAUCUGAGUGUCGGUGAGUACCUCGUUGCUUGUGAGGCAACUACCCGCAUGUUCCAAAGUUGCGAUGAUCUCUGGUGAGAGAUGGCCUAAUCAUGUGGUGACAUGAAGGGCAGCAAGGUGGUACUGUUGUAGCAUACCAGCCUUGCGUCAUCCGACAAAUUCCGACGUUAACGUGGACGGAGUCACGUUAUCGUUCUUCCCCCUUCCGUGCUACCACAUGUUUUCUGCCAGAAUGCGGUUUAGUAAGUUGGUAACCUCUUUCCGUGUACACACCAAAUAGAGGGGCCGGGAUGAUGGUUCCAUGGCCCUGGAUUAAAGCCAGUCAUCCGGUCAGGGGGCAUGGGUGUUUCCGGUUCGGACCGAGAGGGGGGCACCCCUUAGAGCGCACGUAUAGAAAUUUGAUCCCAUGCUACGCGAGGUUGUAGCCUCCCCGUCUCAAGGUUUUUCUUGAACGUUGCCGAGGGUGAUUCCUGGCUUCGGAAAUGUUGAAUGGGUGUGUACUGGUUAGAUGUGUUUCUUCCAAAACACCGUAAACGGAACUAGUCCCCAUGACUACAGAAAUCCGUUGGCUGUGGUUAAAGUACAAACUCUGCAGAGUCAAAUCCUUCCAAGUCAACGUAUCCAUAGUCAAGUAUCGUGAUCAGUGUAUCCAUGUCUAUGUCAUAAUCUCGUGGUAUAUCUUUCGUUCCGGUAAGCAAGCUUGAGUAGUAGACUUGGCUGAACGUUAUUCCUGUGGAUGGACUAACCCUGUUGUUUACCUCAUGUCUGCUUAUUCUCUUGAUAUGAUUUAUAAUUCAUGAGCUACUAAGUUAUGAAUAUAAGCCCUUUAUGUGAUGUCGCUCAGACGUCCGACUGUGGCAUGUUUUGUCUCUUACCUUCAAUAUAAGCCCUUUAUGUGAUGUCGCUCAGACGUCCGACUGUGGCAUGUUUUGUCCCUUACUUUCAAUAUAAGCCCUUUAUGUGAUGUCGCUCAGACGUCCGACUGUGGCACGCACUGCCUUUAUUUUUUGUUAUAGGCCCUUUAUGUGGUGUCGCCCUGACGCCCGACUGCGGCAUUAUUAUUCUUGCAGUUUCCUCUCGAGGAGUCAUUCAGACCCUCGUUUGGCACCAGUAUUAUUAUUCUUGCAGUUUCCUCUCGAGGAGUCAUUCAGACCCUCGUUUGGCACCAGUAUUAUUUUUCUUGCAGUUUCCUCUCGAGGAGUCAUUCAGACCCUCGUUUGGCACCAGUAUUAUUAUUCUUGCAGUUUCCUCUCGAGGAGUCAUUCAGAACCUCGUUUGGCACCAGUAUUAUUAUUCUUGCAGUUUCCUCUCGAGGAGUCAUUCAGACCCUCGUUUGGCACCCAGUAUUUAAUUUGGGAUUUCGGGAGGACUACCGCCCGACUUCUCUGUUAUUUUUCUCAUGCAAGUAUUGUCUCUAUGCCUGAACGCACUUGUUAUUCUGUUCUUAUGCUUCAUGUUUACAUUUGUUAUAUCUCAUGUCCGAACUGUCUUGCGAGUACUUUCAUAGUACUCACCUGGCUUGUUGAUUUGGCCAGAUGUUGACGAAGGCGAUCUCUUGGAUGAAGAGUUUGAUAGCGCGUCCGACGCCUAGAGGAGUCCCAGUCAGUCCUGUGCGAUCCCGGAUAUUGGUCACUUGUAUUAUAUAUGCUUCCGCCACCCGCAAUAAGCCUCCUCGAGCCUCACUCCGACGCUCGAAGAGCUGUAGUUUUCAGGAGUCAUAUCACCCACUUCGCGGUGAUAUUUCCACCAUCGUUGUUAUCGUGAGUUAGUAGUUAUGCCACCCUGUCCGCCGUUAUGUUUUAUCGGCGUGCAUGUAAUAAAUUGUUGAGCAGUCCCCGCUCAACCUUGUAUUAUAUUCAGUACUCCUGGUAUCUUUCUUCUGUGACCGAGAUAUUGUCUACCAGUGAGAAGGAAUUCUUCCUUACUGGUCCGUAAAAGGGAUUGGUCUCUCAAUAAUUAUUUUAUUGAAAAACUGGUCGUGACAAGCUUGGUAUCAGAGCCAGGCUGACUGUAGGAAGCCACUAGGUGCGAUCGCUAAUCGGUUAUUAGCGUCUUUUGUGCUUUUUCAGCAUUUUGCAAUUGUAGCUAUUUUCUGUUGGUCAUCAUAAAUUUAUGACAUGACUACUCAGAAUUUUUGCCUACUUUUGUAGAUGGCUGGCAGCAGCUGUGAGACUCGAGUGUUCACGAACGUGCCCGAGGGGUUUGUCAAACUCCUCGUCUCCAUCACCAAGCUCGCGAUCGGGCCAGCGGCUCGUCCGGAGUUCACGCUUUAUCAACACAAGCUCAGCGACGACGUGUCUAUGCACCAAGCUGUGGUGCAAUUCAAGGGAGGACGUUCUGCAGCUCGCCACUUCCGUUUUGUGGGAAGGGCCAUACCUACGGAGAGGCAUGCCAUGCAGAUGACUGCCCGUGAGGCGAUAGCUCGUCUUCGGGACAUCCUUCCUACGAUGAAGACUCGCCGCUACCGCUACCUCCCAUGCCAUGUGCCAUAUACCAGUCACUAUGCAUUCGCCUGCCAUCGGGGAGAACGAGAUGAAGCCAUCGAGAUGGUUGUGGAGUAUCUCAAGGCUCUGGAGGAGUCUUUCAACAACCUCGUCGACGAUCUUGUGGCUGCCCGCAUGGACUUAGUCCGGGGCGGUCCUGCCAGCAGGAAGGAGCUUCUUCACACAGCACCGCCUCUGACAUUCGUCUCGUCUUCAGCCUCUUAUGCACCGGCCGUUUUAGCCACUGCUCGCCGUCUGCCUACCACUGAGGAGUUCGAUAGAGUCAUCGCUCCUAUUCCAGUCAGAGCUGCACCGCCUGUCGCCCCCGCACCAUCACCGCAGCGUAGUGUUGCGCGCCAGGAGCCAGCUAGAGAGGAGGUGGAGGUUGAAUCUCCUGGACCGCUGAGUCUUGCCCUCGGCAAGGGGAAGGACAUCGUCACCAUCUCCAACUGAGAGCGCCGAGUAGCCGCGCGUUAUGUCUGCUUGUAUAUGUGUUUUCUCUGUACGCUAGUUUGUAUUAGUGUGUUUGCUGCUUUCCGGAGGAGUACGCUAGUCUAAAUAACAUGUCAGGAAUGUGUACGCACAUCCUGAGUGCUGUAUCGUGUGUUUGCUUUUCGCGUGUAAGAUAUAUACUAAGUAGUUCUUCUCCGUGCAAAAUCGUUUAUGUUUUCUUGAAAAUCUUGAGAUCUUUAAAUUUUUGUCUUUGCAAGAUUUCCUUUGUGCCACACAGUUCUUCUCAUGAGUUUUGCAAAAUAAUACCCCCAGACUGGAAAAAUGUCUCGCCCGUGGACUCGCUCCAUGCCCAAUCAGCCAGAAGAAGUUUAUGGGACACAGACUAGCAACAACUUCACUCAGGGACAGUCCAGUCAACAAGACAGCGAAGCAGCCUUGUCUCAAGUAUGCCGUCUCUUCGAGCAAAGCCAGCAACAGCACCAAGAGAUGAUGAAUCAUGUCAUCAAUAUGGGAAACCACCGUGAACCCUAUCAACCACAUUCCAAGUUAUCUGAGUUACAGAAGACUCGCCCUUCAACUUUUGCUCACACUGAUAGGCCGUUGGAAGCCGAUGAUUGGCUUCGUGAUAUCGAAAGGAAGCUAAUUAUUGCUCAGUGUUCAGAUCAUGAGAAGGUGCUUUAUGCACCACACUACCUUACUGGAACAGCUGCAGCAUGGUGGGAGAAUUUCUUACACAUGCAUCCCAGUGAACACAACAUCACCUGGGAAGAAUUCAAGGAAGGCUUUCGUGGGGCACACAUCCCUAGGAGCAUCAUAAAAAUCAAGAAGAGAGAAUUUGAUGACCUGAAGCAGAGAGGCAUGUCAGUGACAGAAUACAAUGGUCAGUUUACCCAGCUAUCCUGUUAUGCCUACGACGAGCAUAUGACUGAGAGCAAGAAGAUGGAAAAAUUCCUGUACGGUCUGGCACCAGCCCUAAGAUGCCAGCUGCUGGUACACACUUUCCCGGAUUUUAAAACUCUGGUUGACAAGGCCAUCACCUUGGAGAAUGAACGCCGCAGCCUGGGAGAUAUCCGUAAGCGGAAAAGGGAUAAGACGACCCUCGCUCGCAACAACCGAAGCAAGACUGAGAUCCCAAGGACAGAAGCAAGGAAAUCCACGACUACUGAUCUAAGGCCCGUCAGGCAGUUUCAUGCCAGGGACAAGGAGUUCACGUACCAUCCAGGGGUCACCUGCUAUGCUUGUGGUGAAGAAGGGCACUAUGCUAAACAAUGCCCAAAGCCGAGGAACUCGGCCCCCAAGCCGAACAAUGGUGGAAACAAUCCAGCCCCCAAGCGCAACAAUUUCAAUCCCAACAACAACCACAAGAAGGGUCACCUGAACCAUGUGACCAGGGAAGAAGCGCAGAAUGCCCCAGGCAUCGUGCUAGGUACGUUCCCUAUCAACGCAGUACCCGCCACGGUUUUGUUUGAUUCUGGAGCUUCCCAUUCGUUCGUUUCGAAGAGUUUUGUUUUGCAACAUGGUUUUCCGAUACUUCCCUUAGAAAAAUCUAUGAUCAUCAAGUCCCCCGGAAAUAAGCAAAUCGCUCAGAGUUACUGCCAAGGAGUAAUCAUUGAGUUCGAAGGACUACAGUUCCAAGCAAACCUCAUCGUGUUGGAAAAUAAAGGACUGGAUGUCAUUUUAGGGAUGGACUGGUUAACCACCAACAAAGGAUUCAUUGACUGUUUCAAUCGGACCGUGAUUCUCACUCAUCAUCACGGCAAGACUAUAAAGGUUACAGCUCAAGAAAGGCCACGGUCACAGCAACCAAAAUUGAACAAAAUGGACAUUUCAGAAUUGAGAAAAGUUCCAGUGGUAUGCGAGUUUCCUGACGUAUUUCCUGAAGAACUACCAGGCAUGCCACCAGACCGAGAGAUAGAAUUCAGCAUCGAACUAGCACCUGGCACCGCUCCCAUCUAUAAGAAACCUUAUAGAAUGGCACCCUCAGAAUUGGUGGAGUUGAAGAAGCAGAUAAAGGAAUUAUUGGACAAAGGAUUUAUUCGAGCCAGCUCCUCACCAUGGGGUUCGCCAGUGUUGUUCGCCAAGAAAAAGGAUGGGACACUGAGACUGUGUAUAGACUAUCGAGCCCUCCAUAUGGUCACCAUCAAAAACAAAUAUCCGAUGCCACGGAUAAAUGAUUUGUUUGACCAGCUCGCACAAGCCAAGGUGUUCUCAAAAAUUGAUUUGAGAUCGGGAUAUCAUCAACUAAAAGUACGGAAAGAAGAUAUCCCUAAAACAGCAUUCACCUCCAGAUACGGAUUAUAUGAAUUCACAGUGAUGCCUUUUGGUCUAACAAACGCCCCCGCAUAUUUCGUCCACCUCAUGGACAAAGUGUUCAUGAAAUUCAUGGACAAAUUUGUUGUGGUGUUCAUCGACAAUAUUCUGGUAUACUCAAGGACACCAGAAGAGCAUGCUGAGCAUCUCAGAAUUGUUUUGGGAGAAUUGAGGAAGCAUCAGUUGUAUGCCAAAUUUAGCAAGUGUGAAUUUUGGCUAAGACAAGUUGGUUUCCUAGGCCAUAUUUUGAACCAAGAAGGCGUGGCCGUAGACCCAGAAAAAGUCAAAGCCAUACUUGACUGGAAGCCACCCGCCAACGUUACAGAUGUGCGGAGUUUCCUGGGAAUGGCCGGAUACUACAGAAGAUUUAUUGAAGGAUUCUCCACUGUGGCAAAACCAAUAACACAGUUGCUCAAGAAAGACAAGAAAUUUGUAUGGACAGAAGCAUGCGAGAAGAGCUUCCAAGAAAUUAAGAAGAAGCUGACAACCGCACCGGUCUUAACUGUGCCAGACAUACACAAGAGUUUUGAAGUGUAUUGUGACGCGUCCCGAAAAGGUCUCGGAUGUGUACUAAUGCAGGAUGGCAAAGUUGUCGCGUAUGCCUCCAGGCAGCUGCGAAAACAUGAGGAAAAUUACCCAACACAUGACUUGGAGCUAGCAGCAGUCAUUCAUGCACUCAAGGAGUGGAGGCACUUCCUGUUGGGAAAUCGCUGUGAAAUAUAUACGGACCAUAAGAGCCUCAAAUAUAUUUUCACACAGCCAGAGCUAAAUUUACGCCAACGACGCUGGUUGGAAUUGGUCAAGGACUAUGAUGUCGGCAUUCACUACCAUCCAGGGAAAGCAAAUGUAGUGGCUGAUGCCCUUAGUCGAAACCCCAGCCCGGACAACGACGGUCCGCAAAACUUGAGGCCUGAGUUUCAGCAAGAGUUCGCUAGGCUCAACAUGGUGUUAGUCUCUGAGGGCACCGUAUCAAAUCUGGAGAUACAACCCACCCUAGUGGAACAAAUCAAGAAAGCUCAACAGGGACAUCCCAGCAUCGAAGGUAUAAAGAAGAAAAUGAACCUUGGUAAGGCUUCAAAGUUCGUCACAGACAGUGAAGGAAUAUUAUGGUACGGAGACAGACUUUGCGUACCUAACAUUGAGGAACUCAAGCAACAAAUCCUAACCGAGAGCCACACCGCUCCAUACUCGAUCCAUCCUGGAGGAACCAAAAUGUACAAAGACAUUCAGGAAAGAUUUUGGUGGCACGGUAUGAAAAGGAUAUAGCCGCAUUUAUUGCUUGUUGCGAUUCAUGUCAGCGCAUCAAGGCCGAGCAUCAAAAGCCAGCAGGGCUACUCCAGCCAAACAGGAUACCGGAGUGGAAAUGGGAUGAAAUAGGAAUGGAUUUCAUCGUCGGACUACCCCGAUCACAAUGCGGAAAUGACGCCAUAUGGGUCAUCACAGACCGACUAACCAAGGUUGCUCAUUUCAUUCCCGUGAAGACUACCUACUCCACACAAAGACUGGCCAAACUUUAUCUCUCCCGUAUAGUUUGCUUGCAUGGGGUCCCAAAGACUAUAAUAUCCGACCGAGGCACCCAAUUUGUCUCCAAAUUUUGGGAUCACCUACAACAAGCUCUGGGCACGCAACUAGCAUUCAGUACAGCGUACCACCCUCAGACAGAUGGACAAACAGAACGAGUAAACCAAAUCCUAGAGGAUAUGCUAAGAGCCUAUGUGCUCACCUAUGGGUCCAGUUGGGAAGAGAGUUUGCCAUAUGCCGAGUUUGCUUACAACAACAGUUACCAAGCCAGCUUGCAAAUGGCACCCUUUGAAGCAUUGUACGGACAGAGGUGUCGUACCCCACUGAAUUGGUCAGAAACAGGUGACAGCCGUAUCUUCGGCCCAGACAUGCUUAAAGAGGCCGAGGAGAAAGUUAAGCAGAUCAGGGACAGACUCAAGACAGCGCAGAGCCGACAAAAGAGCUACUACGAUCAAAAACAUCGUGAAGUCAGCUUUGAACCCGGUGAUUCCGUAUACCUACGAGUGUCUCCUAUGAGGGGCAUGCAACGGUUCAAAAUUAAGGGGAAGCUAGCCCCAAGAUUUAUUGGACCAUUCCGUGUAGUCGCACGAAGAGGCACAGUAGCCUACAAACUAGACCUACCCAAGGAGCUGUCAGACGUCCAUGACAUGUUCCACGUCUCUCAACUGAGAAAAUGUGUAAGUAACCCGGAGAAGCAUGUACCUCAUGAAAGCAUGGAUGUGCAACCAGACCUCACCUACAGAGAGCGGCCAGUAAAGAUUUUGGAAGAGUCUGAAAGGAGGACCCGUCAGAAAACAACUAAAUUUUUCAAAGUCCAGUGGAGCAAUCACACCGAGGAUGAAGCUACAUGGGAAAGGGAAGAUUUCCUUCAGGCAGAAUACCCAUAUCUAUUUGAGGAUCAGCAGAAAUCUCGAGGACGAGAUUUUUCCUAAGGGGGUAGGUGUUGUGACACCCAAAAUUUCAUUUGGCUUUUUCAAAACUUUUCCUUGUUUUGAGGGAUGUGAUUUGAAUUUUCUUUCUAAAAGAACUCUCCCUCUCAAAAUAUUUUCUUUUAUGACUAGUGCUUCAUUUUUGGAUUCACUCAAAACUUGAUUUCUGGUCUUGGAGGUUUUCUUUUUUUAUUUGGACUCAAACCAAAAUGUUUUUCUCUUGGAAAAAUGCCUUUUAAAAAUUUCUUUGAAAAGGCCCUAUAGCUUUUGGAAUAAUCCUUUACCACUUUCAACAAUUCUCUCUUGCCAUGGCCUUAGUGCAAAUCCACUCUCCUAGACCUUCCCUCAUCUUUGGAUCAUGAUUUGCAUCAAGUCCAGCAAGUUGAACCUCCCCAUAUGAUUAUUUUCCAUUUAAAUCUUAUCAAAACAAUUUCUGUCUCCUAUUCUAGCCCUUGGAGAUUUACAAAGGAGCUACCAUUUCUGUUUUGAUUUUUGCCCCCAAACCAAUUCCCCUUCCUAGUCCUUUGAACCCUCAACCAAGAUCCAUGAAGAUCCACUGGUCUUCAGUUCAAAUUUUUCAAACUAUACUUGCUGCAAGUUUGAACCAGAUUUGUCAAAUUUGGUGAAAUUCAUUCAAAUCUUUCUCCAAAAAUUCUGAGUAAAAUCAGGCAGCCCCUGGGUGCAUUGAGUGGUCACCUCACCAAGCCCCAGCUCUAGGAAAAAUUUUCUCCUUGCCAAAUCAUUUCGUCGAACACCUACUGGACACUGUUGCUGUCAUUGUUCAGUUAAGUUCAGAGAACAGUUCCAGUGCACUGUCGUUUUCUUCAGUGUUCGAUCUCAAUCUCGCUAGUGUCGCUGUGUCGCCUUGCUCCCCGUCCCCUCCCCCUUGUUCCUGCGCCGCACGAUCCCCUGGAGCCUUGCGGACGUCGGUGACGAGCUGGAGGAGGUGAGCCGCCCCGUGACCGAUGCCAGCGGCGGCUUUGCGGCCGCCAGAGAGAGGCGCGGCGCAGACGGCGCCACCCAGCGCCGCCCAAGCCACCGGAGUUCGCCGCGUGGCCUUCCACUCCCCAGAACGCACUGCCACUCUCGUCGUGAACCGCUGGGCGCGGGGCGCGCUCUCUGCCGCCGUCGUGCCCGUGCGGCCACCCCACCGUGGACCAGCGCCAUUAUGCCAAGCCCGACCUAGUUUAGCAGUGGAACGGCACCAGUAAACCUCCCUGAUGCUGCCUGGCCACUCAAACCCCCUGCUCAACCACUGCCUCGCCGUAAUCGCUCGCCGGAGAUUUCCCGUUCACGGCCAUCACCUCGAUCCGCCUAUAAAUAGACGCCCCGAGCUCGAACUCGAACCCACACCAUCUCUGCACUCCACCUAGACCGCGCCAAGCCACUGGAAGAGCCCCGAGGGAGCCUUCUUCCCCAGCUCCGGCCGCCGCGACCCGCCACGGGAUCCAGCUCGAUUCGCUCCCGUGCGUGCACCUCUGCCUCCCAUCUCUUGCCAGUAGCUCUCUAGUGCAUCCCUCUUUCUGACCCGCGCUUCAAUUCGAGGUUUGCAGCACCCACCGGAGUUCUCCACCAUCACCCGAGCCGCCGUCCGUCGGAGAAAGUGUCGCCAUCGACGUGGUGCUCUCCGACGGUCGAGUCCACCACCCACCGACGCGGAAGGACACGCUGAAGCUCUUGGUACACUCCGAUCUCCCUGUCUCGCCGUGGUUCGACGCCGGCGACCACCGCAGUCUUCGGGCGCCGGCGAGCUUUUUAAACCUGACAUGUGGACCCCCCCUGUCAGCCUCUAUUCUCUUCUCCCUCGAACCGUUUUCUGUUGGCGCCUUCGGGCAAAUACGUCUUCCCUUUGAUCUUGCGCGUUUCUUUCCGAAGCGUUUUCUGUUUUCUCAGUUAAGCCCCUGGAAAUUUUCUGUUUCAUUACAGAUGAGUCCCUGGACAGAAACCUUUAUAACUUUUUAAUAAAAAGAGAUUUUUGAGUGAUUCUUUUUUUGUCAGUCUUGUAUUUUUGUCUAGUUCUUUAUAGUAUUUAUUUGGAAAAAAAUUGGAGAAGUUUUUAUGCACGCGUUGGUUUUCACGUUAGUGCCCGUUUUCGUAUGCCGUAGGUUCCGGAAGAAGUGACGGAGCCGCGAACUUCGCCGAGCUAGACUCCGACUUCUCCGAACCAGGCAAGCAUGUUUGAACCUUUGAUAUGACAGGUGUUUUGCAUGUUUGCGUGAGAGGUUGUGCGUGGUAUCUGAGUGUCGGUGAGUACCUCGUUGCUUGUGAGGCAACUACCCGCAUGUUCCAAAGUUGCGAUGAUCUCUGGUGAGAGAUGGCCUAAUCAUGUGGUGACAUGAAGGGCAGCAAGGUGGUACUGUUGUAGCAUACCAGCCUUGCUUCAUUCGACAAAUUCCGACGUUAAUGUGGACGGAGUCACUUUAUCGUUCUUCCCCCUUCCGUGCUACCACAUGUUUUCUGUCAGAAUGCGGUUUAGUAAGUUGGUAACCUCUUUCCGUGUACACACCAAAUAGAGGGGCCGGGAUGAUGGUUCCAUGGCCCUAGAUUAAAGCCAGUCAUCCGGUCAGGGGGCAUGGGUGUUUCCGGUUGGGACCGAGAGGGGGGCACCCCUUAGAGCGCGCGUAUAGAAAUUUGAUCCCAUGCUACGCGAGGUUGUAGCCUCCCCGUCUCAAGGUUUUUCUUGAACGUUGCCGAGGGUGAUUCCUGGCUUCGGAAAUGUUGAAUGGGUGUGUACUGGUUAGAUGUGUUUCUUCCAAAACACCGUAAACGGAACUAGUCCCCGUGACUACAGAAAUUCGUUGGCUGUGGUUAAAGUACAAACUCUGCAGAGUCAAAUCCUUCCGAGUCAACAUAUCCAUAGUCAAGUAUCGUGAUCAGUGUAUCCAUGUCUAUGUCAUAAUCUCGUGGUAUAUCUUUCGUUCCGGUAAGCAAGCUUGAGUAGUAGACUUGGCUGAACGUUAUUCCUGUGGAUGGACUAACCCUGUUGUUUACCUCAUGUCUGCUUAUUCUCUUGAUAUGAUUUAUAAUUCAUGAGCUACUAAGUUAUGAAUAUAAGCCCUUUAUGUGAUGUCGCUCAGACGUCCGACUGUGGCAUGUUUUGUCUCUUACCUUCAAUAUAAGCCCUUUAUGUGAUGUCGCUCAGACGUCCGACUGUGGCAUGUUUUGUCCCUUACUUUCAAUAUAAGCCCUUUAUGUGAUGUCGCUCAGACGUCCGACUGUGGCAUGCACUGCCUUUAUUUUCUGUUAUAGGCCCUUUAUGUGGUGUCGCCCUGACGCCCGACUGCGGCAUUAUUAUUCUUGCAGUUUCCUCUCGAGGAGUCAUUCAGACCCUCGUUUGGCACCAGUAUUAUUAUUUUUGCAGUUUCCUCUCGAGGAGUCAUUCAGACCCUCGUUUGGCACCAGUAUUAUUAUUCUUGCAGUUUCCUCUCAAGGAGUCAUUCAGACCCUCGUUUGGCACCAGUAUUAUUAUUCUUGCAGUUUCCUCUCGAGGAGUCAUUCAGACCCUCGUUUGGCACACAGUAUUUAAUUUGGGAUUUCGGGAGGACUACCGCCCGACUUCUCUGUUAUUUUUCUCAUGCAAGUAUUGUCUCUAUGCCUGAGCGCACUUGUUAUUAUGUUCUUAUGCUUCAUGUUUACAUUUGUUAUAUCUCAUGUCCGAACUGUCUUGCGAGUACUUUCAUAGUACUCAGCUGGCUUGUUGAUUUGGCCAGAUGUUGACGAAGGCGAUCUCUUGGAUGAAGAGUUUGAUAGCGCGUCCGACGCCUAGAGGAGUCCCAGUCAGUCCUGUGCGAUCCCGGAUAUUGGUCACUUGUAUUAUAUACGCUUCCGCCACCCGCAAUAAGCCUCCUCGAGCCUCACUCCGACGCUCGAAGAGCUGUAGUUUUCAGGAGUCAUAUCACCCACUUCGCGGUGAUAUUUCCACCAUCGUUGUUAUCGUGAGUUAGUAGUUAUGCCACCCUAUCCGCCGUUAUGUUUUAUCGGCGUGCAUGUAAUAAAUUGUUGAGCAGUCCCCGCUCAACCUUGUAUUAUAUUCAGUACUCCUGGUAUCUUUCUUCUGUGACCGAGAUAUUGUCUACCAGUGAGAAGGAAUUCUUCCUUACUGGUCCGUAAAAGGGAUUGGUCUCUCAAUAAUUAUUUUAUUGAAAAACCGGUCGUGACACAUACCUAGUUCAAUCUUGUUACCGGCAAGUCUCUUUACCCGUUCCAUAAUGCAUCAUCCCGCAACUAACUCAUUAGUCACAUUGCUUGCAAGGCUUAUAGUGAUGUGCAUUACCGAGAGGGCCCAGAGAUACCUCUCCGAUACACGGAGUGACAAAUCCUAAUUUCGAUCUAUGCCGACCCAACAAACACCUUCGGAGACACCUGUAGAGCAUCUUUAUAAUCACCCAGUUACGUUGUGAUGUUUGAUAGCACACAAGGUGUUCCUCCGGUAUUCGGGAGUUGCAUAAUCUCGUAGUCAGAGGAACAUGUAUAAGUCAUGAAGAAAGUAAUAGCAAUAAAACUUAACGAUCAUAAUGCAAAGCUAACGGAUGGGUCUUUUCCAUCACAUCAUUCUCCUAAUGAUGUGACCCCAUUCAUCAAAUGACAACACAUGUCUAUGGUUAGGAAACAUAACCAUCUUUGAUAAACGAGCUAGUCAAGUAGAGGCAUAUUAGGGACACUUAUGUUUUGUCUAUGUAUUCACACAUGUACUAAGUUUCCGGUUAAUACAAUUCUAGCAUGAAUAAUAAACAUUUAUCAUGAAAUAAGGAAAUAAAUAAUAACUUUAUUAUUACCUCUAGGGCAUAUUUCCUUCAAUUAUAAUUUGGGCUAAUGUGUGGCUUUUGCAGCUCAGGGCUAAAUACUUGUCAUAAUGUAGGGGGCGGGGCACUAUACUUUGUGUGAUAAACACGGUGUACGUAUGGAACAUGGUUUAGAUUAUGAAUAUCUAGUUAGUACAUCAAAUGUACUAUUAUUUGGAAUCAACAUCAAGUGUAUUCAAAAAAUUGAAUUCGAAUUCAUAUAGUACACAUAGUUCAUAUCUAUCUCUAUAGUAAUCAUGUGGUGUGUUGUUAAGGUAAUACACGAAUGAUGGUUGAAGUUGGCAACAAACAUGAUUGUAGAUUCUUAUUGAAAUAGAGAAACGAAUUCAAAUUCAGUUCGAAUGUCAGUGGUAGUAUAGACAUUUGGAAUGCACUAAAAUGUUGGUAUGAGUAGGUUACAUGCAUUAGUCUUGCCAUAGUGGGAGUAACAUAACCGGUAACAUGCACUUGAGACUAGCAAACAUGCUUAUGUGGCACAUAAUUAAAGAAGAGAGACAGGAUUAGAGUAACAUAGGUAGAUAUCGUAUCAUGUUAAAUGCUAUGCUACUUUGUGUCAUGCAUGGCAAUAAAUAUGAUCAUCUAUGAUACUACUUUAUGAUACUAUGCAUUAUGGAGGUAGUAUCAUACACUAGUAUCAUAUGCAUGAUACUAGUAUAUGAUACUCCCCACUAUGAGUAGCCUUAUACAGCCAGCAAAAAAUUAGUUGGACAUAACAUGGAUUCAUAGCUUUGAAUAGCAUUUGUAUAGUAAAACGGGACAAGACUCUCUCUUUGUAUGGUGUGAAUAGUUUUAUUUUUUUGGUUUUUUUUUGGUUGAGGGAAGUGCGAAUUGAUUUGGUAUGUACAAGUACAAUAUUACACGUUAGGCUUGUCCCUAAAAUUUAACCCGCGCCUUGUUAUAUCCCAAAAUUUCGGAUAUUGUGCUCCCAAAACUGGCGCCUUCACAACCCGCGCCUUGCUAUCCCAAAAUUACAACGCGCGAAAACUCCCUCCAGCUGCCAAAUCCCGACACUCGAAAUCCCCCUUCUAACCCUGAGCUGAAAGGGCCGCUAGUUCAAAUCGGUGGGGGUACUUUUGUAACACACCCUACAUUUUGGACAAGCGCGUCCCUAAGUCAUGGUUCCCCCCUCCCAUCGCCUCCUUUUCACCAUUCGAAAUCGCAAGCCACCAUAACCUCUCCGCUCAAACCGCGAAACCCCGCCGUCCUUCGUCCGCCACCUCAUCGCUGCCCAGUCGAAGCCUCUUCCCCGACGACGUCGUCCACCGCAACAGCUCGACGUCCCUCAUCCACCUCCCCGGAUGAGGAUCCGUCGUCCAUCUCAUCGUCCCGCAGGUUCAGCCGCCCCGUCCUCCACCUCCAAGGAGCUGCUCCAACGAUCGCCUCGUCUAUUGCGGCUGCUCCAUCCCCACAGCGCCGCCUUAACCUGCUCCACCAGAACCGCAUCAUUCUCACCGACUCCUCGGACAAAGCCGAGGCCUACUCGGCGCCACCAAAGAGGUUGUACACUCAUCGCAUCGCACCUUCUCCUUAACUCGACCUCCCGGCGCUGACGGUGCUCCAUCUCACACCCCCAUGGAGCGGCUACCUCGAAGUCGGCGCCGCGGCCAACAUCUCCACGGCGGCUCUCCCCCAGUGCGAGGCCCCUCCGGUGGCGGCGUCCAUACCAGCCGGAUCUGCUGCUGCUGCUCUGGCUCUCGCUCGCUCGCUCGCUCUGCUGCUGCUGCUCUCCCUCUCGCUUGUGCUGUUGAUCUGCUCUGAUUUAGCUACACUUCAGUCGACUGAAUCGACUUUUGGGUCAGUCGAUUUUCAGGGGGUGGGGGGCUCGCCGGAGUUAAGGAAGAACCACCUGCAGCGGGGAGGGGGGCUGACCGGAGAGGUACCCCACUAUCUAUCUUAGGGUUCAGGGUGGGGGCAGUGGUCGCCGGUGGUGGGGCGCGAUGGUGGGGCGAUGGCGUGGGGAUCACCGGAGAAAAAGCUCGGCGCGGGGGGGCUAGAGGGCUGGCCAAGGCGGCGGCGGACUGGUGGUGGGGAGUUGUUUCGGGGCAGCGAGGCGGCGGCGGACCGGCGGUGGGGGGUUGUCCUGGGGCGGUGAGGCGGCGCGGGGGCCGGCAGUUCGGCUGGUGGUGGCUGACGGCUCAGGGGGGUGCAGGUUGAAGAUGAACUGCAGGCCCUCCCUAAACUACAUGUGAAGUGCCUCUCUGCUACCAUUGCGUUCAGUUUAGACAGUAACAUUCAGAUUCCACAGUAAAUUUCAGUUUCGACAGUUAAGUUCAGAGUCAACAGUUUUUACCUCAUCUGUUGUAGUCAGGUGGUUUUUGGUGAUGUAAAUUUUACAUCUAUCACUUUUUGGUAAUGUAUUUUACAUCAUCUAUAGGAGAUGCUAUUAGAAUCCCACUUGAGAUUAAUGAUGUAUGUCUUGUGUUGCUUCAGCCUCGACGUCUUACGGCUCACUGGAGCUGCUCCAACGACGGAACGAUCCAUCACAACAGAGCAGUGCCCUGGACGCCGUCUACAGAUUCCUCGGAUCUUCCUCCACACCUCCGACAGCCACCUCUGCCUCAACUUCUUUAGCGACCAACCCAAUGAUGUUGAGGUUGACACGGCUACGGCAAAGAGGUUGUACACUUGUCGCAUCACUUAUUACUCUACAUUCAUGUCGAUCCAUUAGGGCUAUUUUGGUUCAACGGAAAAACAUAGCAAUAGGAAAUUUUCCUAUGGCACUCUACUAUUCAAUUAUUCAUGCAUUUUGUUGAAAGGAAUGGAGCAAAACAUCCACCUGGACCUACUUUUCAAAAUCCUAUGCAUGAAAAGAAGACCAAGUGCAUUAGUGGUAGAAUAACAUUCUAACUGUACACGCUUUCAUAUGGUUUCACUUUAUUUUGGCCAUGUUUCUUUGCAUUCCUCUGCUCCUCCAAUUCCUGUGAACCAAACACCCAAGUUGACAGAAAUCCUGUGUUCACAAAUGCUCUGUUUCCCAUGUGCAUUCCUAACCUAUUCUAGUGUUUUCCUUCCUAUCCCUGCGUUUUUAGAAUCAUGCAAGCCGAAUGAGACCUUACAUAAUUACUUCAAUUAUAGGUAGGUGUCAAAGAAAACUUUGUGUGGUUUGUCCUGCUCCUGCUGCAACGCCGUUUACCUCACCUGAGUUGCUCCAUCGACAGAAGCAUCCACCAAACCAGACAUCACGACUCCUGACCUUCUUUCGCCGUCUCAGAUCUUCUUCCCUGCCGCCGGCACCCACCGCAACGGCAUCACCAUGAUCGACUCAACAGAUGAACCUGAGGAGUACACGGGUCAACAAGAGAGGUCGCACUCUUUUGCUUCUGCUUAUGUUAUGCAUUGCUUAAUAUUACCUGCUACUUUAUUGUCAUGUUCACCUCUUAGACUCCAAGCAGGUCCAAAUUGAUGUUCAAACUUGAGUUAUAAAUUAGUUGUGGGGCACAUAUCGAGGCAGCAAUGAAUAGUAUCUUUGUCUAAUAUCUGGUUCACCUAGGGUAUGCCUAUGUUGUUCAUCUUGGGUGGUAAACAAAUAGUAAAGCAAUCAUCAUUUGUUUUUUAUUAAAUUAAAGCAAUCAUCAGCCUGCUAUCAUUAUUUUUGGAUCCAUCCACUGGUUGUUACCAUUACUCUAGAUUUCUGCAUGCUCUCCUUACAUAAUCUCACUAUAUUUUUUUGUAUGCAUGUUAGAUAUUGUACACAGUCAUGUUGAACAUGUAGAGAAAAAGAGAAGAAUUUUGCGCGGCAAUACAAUGUCAUGCAGACAUCGCUCCAUGGUGGGUUCAAUGGCAAACCCUCCCCCCCCCCCUCUCCAGAUUGUAAUCCAGAGGAAGAUAUCUGUUCUGAGGCGGAUUCAGACGCAGCUGACCACUCCUAUUUACCCCCAAGGUGUUUGCUCUAACUUGGCAUGAUGAUGUUAGUCAUAUCAUGCAUAUGAUCAUAUAUGGGAAUUAUGCAGUCUCAUGUCUUUUAGCCAGCCAUAAUAUAUGUGAAAUGUGCAAUGCCAUCAUGUUUAACCAGGCAUCAUAUAUUGGAAUGAUAUCUUACCCAUCCUUUUCUUCAUUACAUUUCCAUUUGUCGACAAUGUUUGUACAUUAAACUACUCUUCCUGUGAAUCAGCCAUUUGAGUGGGUGAUGGAAAAAUCUGGAGUGAAAACAAGGCCUUCAGAGCAGACAGUGCUACCUGUCGAAGCAGAUCUCUUGCUGGGUACCGAGAGCUCCUCAGAGAUGGAUUCAGAGACAGAUGACCAGUCCUAUUCCCCCACCGAGGUGUAUGCUCUAACUUGGCACGGUUAUACUGCUCAUAUCAUGCAUAUGGUGUCUUGCAUUGCAUAGUUUAGACAUCAUAUACACAAUAUUCAACACCAUGUUCUUAGUUCAGACAUCAUAUAUGCGAAUGCCCUCUGCUUAGCAUAUAAAUCACAUAUGUGAAUUAAAUCAUACGAUCCUGAUUACUUAGAUAACAUGUAUGUGAAUUAUGUCAUGCGAGCCUGUUUAGUUAGUCAUCAUAUCACUACUAGGGAAAACCUUAUACACAGAAAUUUAGCAGUAGCGCGUGUCAAAAAUGGGCGCUAGUGCUAAAUAGCAGUAGCGCGCGUGCAAAAACCGCGCUACAGAUACAACAGUAGCAGUAGCGCGUGCACAUGAAAAAGCGCUACCACCAAUAUUCCCAUUGCUAAAACGAUAGGCUACGCAUAACAGUAGCGGUCUUGAGAGAAGCGCGCUACCGCUAGGACAUAAGUAGCAGUGCGUUUCGCGCGGAGAGCGCUACUACUAAUGGAAAUAAAAUAAAAUGGAAAACAAAUGGAAAAGUAAAUGAAAAGGAAAGAAAUAGAAAAAGGAGAAAGGAAAAAAUAAAAUGUAGAGCAAAAUAAAUGAAAAAGCGAAAAAAAAGGAGAAAGGCAUAGCAGUAGCGUUUGUUCGUAAGAGGCGCUAUAGCUAACCUAGCUGCAGUGCGUUUCCUAGACCCCCGCUGUAGAAACAGAAAGGGAAAUAAGAAAUAUGAAGGAAAUUACAUAGCUAUAGCAGUAGCGCGUUUUGUGAAAAUCGCUAUAGCUAACUUAGCUAUAGCGCGUUUCGCGAAAAGCGCUACCGCUACGUUUGACUUAACCAAAAAACCGUUUCCCCCCGGCCACCACUUCUCCCCCAAAUCCCUCGACCCACCCCGCCGUCGUCUGCCCGAUUCGUCGUCGCCCCACUUCAGCGCCGUCUCCUGCCGACGUCGACGCCCCCGGAGCCACUAGAGCCGCGUGUCGUCGACGCCACCGGAGCCGCCCCCAACGCCACCGGAGCCGCGCGGCCUCAUCAACACCACCGGAGCCACAGUCGACGCCACCGGAUCCUCCCUCGCCACAACUGCCUCCCUCGCCAUCACCGGAGANNNNNNNNNNNNNNNNNNNNNNNNNNNNNNNNNNNNNNNNNNNNNNNNNNNNNNNNNNNNNNNNNNNNNNNNNNNNNNNNNNNNNNNNNNNNNNNNNNNNNNNNNNNNNNNNNNNNNNNNNNNNNNNNNNNNNNNNNNNNNNNNNNNNNNNNNNNNNNNNNNNNNNNNNNNNNNNNNNNNNNNNNNNNNNNNNNNNNNNNNNNNNNNNNNNNNNNNNNNNNNNNNNNNNNNNNNNNNNNNNNNNNNNNNNNNNNNNNNNNNNNNNNNNNNNNNNNNNNNNNNNNNNNNNNNNNNUUUAGUUAGGAAAAGAAUUUAGUUAGGUUAAUUUAGUUAGGAAAAGAAUUUAGUUAGGUUAAUUUAGUUAGGAAAAGAAUUUAGAUAGGGCUUUGACAGAGACGCCCCUGCCUCCCUCGCCGUAGGAAAAAAUUGUAUAUGCUUGACUAGGGCUUUGACAGAGACGCCCCUGCCUCCCUCGCCACAUCUGCCUCCAUCUAUAUUUGGUUUUUGAAUUGAGUUUCUGAGAGCUUGAUAUUUGUGUAGAUUUUCUUGAAGUGUCAAACACUAGGAGAUGCAAAUUUGAAGUGGUCAUGAUAUAUGAAAAAUCCUCAAUUGUGUUUGCUCAUUCAUCAUAAUCGACAUUGAAGUGGUUCGAUUGUGCCCAAGUGGCCUUUUGUUGUUUCCAGGGAAUGAAGCCAAGUGGCCUAUGUUUUGCCGGAAUGUUGAUUCAUUUCCGUUCCGGCAAAAUUCAGGUUCUCGAUUUGUCCACUUUUUAGCAAAGGUCAUGCCAAAAUUUUCCGUGAAUUUCGACAUGACUUGUGCUACAAACUAGGACAUAUCGAGUGCCCGGGAUUUGCCGCACCGGGAAGGAGUCAACGUUCCUGCAAAACAAUAGGCCUUUUUUAUGUUAUUAUUCAUUUUAUUAGGUCUAGAAUUAAUUGACUAGAUUUAAUCGUAGGAAACAUGGCUAGCAACGAUGAAGGACAGGGUUCUGGUGAUUGCAACGACGUCUACCGGGCGGCAGACGAAUUUUUGAGCCUUGCCGACGAGACUGAGACCGGCGCUGAGACUGAGACCGGCGCUGAGACUGAGACCGGCAUCGAGACCGGCGCCGGGACUAGCGGAGCCGGUGUAGAACCGAAAGCAAAGAGGCAACGGCUUCCUAACAAGCUCAGGACUACUAGACUGGUGGUCACGGAGGUGGACGACGACAAUUUUGAGCCAAAAGCACCCCAGGAAGAGCGCGCGUGCUACGGCAAUCAAAUAGGCUGCAUCGUACGGACAACCGCCACCAUCAACGAUGAGAAACUACAGAAGAUCGAUAAUAUGAGGACCUCCCUCCUAAAGAAGUUUCACCAGAUAUUCUUGUUCCCGGGCCGGAAUGAAAAGGAUUAUAAAGAUCCAGAUAAGGACCCGACAAUGAAGAAGAUAAACAAACACGCCAUGACCAAGUUUAGCGACGCAUUGGCCGCCUGGAAAACAAGGGUGAAAGCAAGGAUCAUCGACAAGAAGGAACUCUACUCCAAGAUUGUAAAGGAUAAUCCGACAAUCACGGAAGAGCAGUUUCAAAUAUUCAAGGCGGCUUGCGAGGCCGAAGCUGCCAAAAAAAGUCUAAGUACAUGAAGGGGCUUCAACAGAGGAACAUUGGGAGCCACCACCUCAGAAGCCGUGGUUAUGGCGGGAAGAGGUCCAAAUGGGCCAAGGAGGACGCGGAAGCCGCGAGUCUGGGCAUCCCAGACCCCUUGGCGGAGUUCACCGUCCCGCAGGAGCGUGACGUCCUCAGGGCCCGGCACCGUUGGGACCCAGAGAAGAAGGUUUUUGAGACGAACGCGGUCAUGACGGAGUUCAACAGACUACUGGUAAUUUUAGUUUUUGAUCAAUUCGACUACACGUUAGUCAUAUUUGUAAAUGAUCCUUGUGCCUUUUGCAGAGAGAGCGGCACAGGAUUGCGGCCGAAAGCGACUCGCCGUCUGAGGCAUUGGCGAGGCCCAAGGGGGACACUCCAUUCAACCAGGCGUUGAACAUAUUGAAACGACUCCCGGUGGAUACUCGACCGUCGUAUGGACGCGUGCACGGUGUCGGAGACGGCGCCAUGUGGAAGAAGUACUACAGUGAGACCAAGGAGGAGAGAAAGGAAAGACAGAGGUUAACCAAAGAAAACAUCGGCAAGAAGGUUGAGAUUGCGGUUGAGAAGAAAUCAUCUCAGACAGUCGCAACAGCGGUAGCUGCCGCAAAACAGAUGGUUGUAGAUAUGUCCACUUCCUUGGUUCCGGCCGUUUUCAAUUGGACCAGGCAAAAUCCAGAAAAAAAUGCAGCGGACUUUCCCCUUGCUGACUUCUUGGGGAGCAGCUCGACUAGCGUUGCACCAGCACCUGCAGCUGCACCGGCUCCCGCACCGGACGUGCUCGGCGGUGCUUCGUCUUUGGCUGAGCUCCACGCCCUCACGGUAUCUGUCACACCGGCCCCUUCAAUAAAUGUAUAAUCUCCCGUUUUCGUUGCCUUUCGGAUGUCUCACAUUGCAGACUUUUCUUUGCAGGCCGACGAAACCCCGUGCACCAUAUUGUACACCAUCGGUGACCAGAAGGUGGACGUGGGGAAGGCGACGAUAAUGAAGCCGAAGGAACCAUUGUUCCACAGCCGGCCGAUCCCCCCGAACGUCUUCAAGGUUUCCGUGGCCAAUGUCAAACCGGGCCACGAGAAUUUGCCUCCUCUGGUACUAGGGGGGAUGACGAUGAGACCCCGCGGAGGCUUGGUGAUUGUUGCAAUGGGUGGGUCCUGUUGUGGCCAAAGAGUCUGCUUCGUGUGGAGGCGGCCGGGAGCACACCCACGAGCACGCAGCCUCAGCAAGGUAUGAACAUCAACACCCCACCUACCCAAUUAGCGUCGGGUGUCGGGUUGGGUGAUAGCGGACGGGGUAAGGAAGAGGCUCCAUUAGUCGCUGAUGACGUCGCCAUGGAUGAGGAUGAGGAUGACGAUGGCACUCAACAGUAUGUCUAUACUGGCGCCUACUCAGGGUUUGAGCGUCAUGAGUUGGUGCCUGAAUUGCCGCCUCCGGAGGCUCAACGUAUUAUAGACGACCUUCCGACAAAGAAGCCUAGGAAGAGAGCGAGGAAAGGCAAGAAAGCCGAUUCUAUGAUCCAGCCGCCUCAGCAGCCUUGGGUUCAAGACCGUAUAGAUAUCACCGGUGCGGAUAAAUUGUAUAUCCCUGGUCAACCAAUCCUACCUGCAGCAGCGCUAAAGGCCAGAUUCGGCGAUCUAAGGAGUCUUCAUGAUGAUGUGCUGCGGAUAGAGAAAGGCCUCAUCGCCUCAAAAGAUCCAGGAUACCCACUCUACGUGGUUAACGUUCCGCGGCAAUUGUCGUACGUCGACUUCUUCCCCGCGGAUAAGUUAUUCCUUCGAUUCGAUUACAUAUUCGACAUGUUUCACGUGAAGAAGCUGGAUUUUACGUUUGUCCGCCUUUAUGCCUUGCACAUGAACUACAUUAUCGGGGUUGAGCAGAUACCUCAUAUCUGUGUCGCUGACCCGUACUUCAUGCACGAGAGCUUCUUGGGAGUCUGCGCAAAGCACUGUGAAUAUGCGAGGGACUACAUAGUCAAUUUCAUGCUCGCCAAUAAGGACAAGGAGGCGAUUCUCGUGCCUUAUCAUCCCCUGUAAGUCAUCCGCGCAGAUAUCCUUCCUUUUAUUUCAAUCAUUCAUUUGCACGGUGGAGGCUAAUUAAUUUGAGGUGCACUUAUUUUGCGCAGCGGCGGGCGCGCCGUCCUCAUCAUCCUCUACCCCCGAUACUCCCACGCUCUUUACUUGGACUCGUCGAAGAACAUUAACAAAAAGGAUUACACCCACAUCAAGGAUGUUCUCGACAGUGCUAUCUAUCACUACGGCGCACGGGGUGGAGAGGUCAAGGACAAGAAGAGAAGGGACGGCAGGCCCGCCUUCGGCCAUAAGACCGACUUCUGCUGCAUCCAACAACCGAGUGAUUCUCUUAAUGAUGGAUUCUAUGUCCUACACCACAUGCUGGAGUACAGACGGGAUCACCAGAACCUUCGCAUGUCAGCUAAAUCCGGCGAUGCCCAUAUUCUGCAAUGGGCAAAGAACGUAGGAGAUAUCGAGGAUCAUCGACUUCGAGCUGAGUUCUAUCACAUCCAGCGCGAACUUGCCCAAAUCAUCAUGAAGGAGGUCAUCGGAAAAAUAGGGAUGUUCUACGAAGAAGGACAAAUGUCGUCGGAAGACGUCCGAACAUGGGUAGCCUCUCAGCGUCUCGACCUGAAGCCUUUCACUAGGCUCGGGGACUAUCUCCCUGACUUGGAUGGAUGGCAUGACAUGUUGGAGUGAUUGUCGAUAUAUGACAAUGUGUCCGUUUAGUCCAUACUUUCUGUAUGACGAAACUUUGAGUUAUGCACGACGAAACUUUAUUUGUGAUGUAAUUAAACCGUCCUCCUCGACUAGCGACGAUCACUCUAGUUAGGGCAUUUUGGGUACGAUCAACUUUGUUAUUUAUGCUUAUGAUAUGUUGCUUCUAUUUUUGCCAAGUCUGUCUCUUUCUGUUGCUCAACUAUAUAUGUUGCAUAUCAUCGACUCAUGUGACGAUGCAGGUGCAUAGAUCAUCGAUGGCAAAGAAGUGCUACGCCAGGAGUAUAUAUACGACGAGUGGCCAGAGUGUCAGGCCCAGGUGUACCGGUUUCUGGUUUCCGAGCGACAGGCAGUAGCUAGUUUAGGUUCACGCUAAUGCGAGAGAGGGAUACGAACUCAUGUACUGCAUAGUUCCUCUCUCACUCAAAGUGAUAGCUCUUCUCGCGUAUAUCAUUGUUUAGAUGGAUGACGAUGUAGUUGCAAGUAAUCGAGACUUGUAUCGCUAUUUUCGAGAUGGUGACGAGAUACCACUUUGUGUUGGAUGAUGAUUAUGAUGAGACUAUUUGUAUGUAUAUGCUAUGAUUACAUUUGUGGCCUCGCAGCCAUUUGUAUGUGUAUCAUGAUGACAUUUGUAUCUGCUAAAGAUUCUUGUAUAAAGCAUGUUCAAAUACAAAACAAAUAUGCAGGAAAAAAAACUACUAAAAUUAGCAGUAGCGAGUGGAGAAAGUUAGCAGCAGCGUGACAGUAGCAGUAGCGCAUCCAGCCCAAGCACGCUAGAGCUAUUAGCAGUAGCAGGCUUGCACGAAGCACGUUGCUGCUACACUUGUAUACCAGUAGCGCGGGCGCCCACGCGCUGCUGCUAAGUGUUAGCUGUAGCGCCUUAUUAGUAGCGCCGGUCCCCGCGCUACUAAUGUACCUAAAACCCGCGCUGCUGCUAGGCUUUUCCCUAGUAGUGUAUCUUUAAAUUAUGUUAUGCUAUGCUAUCCAGUUUAGAUAGACAUCAUAUAUGUGAAAUUAUGUCAUGCUAUCCAUUUUAGUUAAACAAUAUACAUGUCAACUAUUUCAUGCCCUCUUUUUUCCACACUAUCUAUUGCAUCUGUCUCUCAUACAAUGUCUGUACAUUCAACUAUGUUUCCUGUUUAUCAGCCAUUUGAAUUGGAGCGAGUGAUGGCAGUAUCUAGCGGAGUAAAAACACGGACUUGAAAUAAACAGUGCUACCUCUUGGUGGAGAUAGCACCCCAAUUGUACAUGCACGAGAACCAUCUCUACCACACAUAACCCAGACUCACGCAGAUUUUACCCCUACUACGGUGGAUAGAGAACCAGCUUCACCCAAUCUAACCCCAACCCCAGCAGAUAGUAACCCUGUUCCUGUUGACACAUCACCAUCUCCACCACAGAGCUCCCAAACAAGAGCAGUUAGUAAGGCAGCUCCAGUGCCCAAAGCGCCAGUACUACCACGGCGAACCCCAACUCCACCAGUUAGUACACCUAUUCCUGUGGAGGAAGCACAACCAGCCAUUCAUAGUUUAGCAUAUAUCGCAUUUGAUGUUGUUAAAUCCUACGUGCGUAUCUUCCCAUCAUGGAAAUAUUAUACUGAAGAUGAAGGAAAAUGCCAGUUGCAGGUGUUUGUCCAGGAGUUAUGUGUAAGUAAUGUUAUUCAUGGCAAUUACUUUGCUUUGUCCCAUACAUUCUACCUCCAUGAUGGUUAUAAUACAACAAUUUUUUUCCAUUUUUCUCUAUAGAGAAGGACCGAUUUGGAAACUCAGGAUGAGGUAACCUGUGUUAAUACCUCUGCUAUCUUCAAGAAUGCUUGGUGGCAGUAUCGGAAUUACCUGAAGAAAACGUACUUCACUGGCAAAGAAACUCAUCAAAUUCCCUUACCUUCUCCUGAGACACAUUUACUGGACGAUGACUGGGAACGCCUUGUUCUGUACUGGUCCCGAACCAACAAUGUGGUAAGGUCUAUGAGCUCAUUUUAUUUUAAGUACUCUAUGCUUGCGUCUUAUUGUACACUGUUCAUGUAGAACAAGUGCUUAAACCUGAAGAACAACUGCUCUCAUUUAAGAUUCCAUUGCUAUCGUGCAUACUGCUUUGCUCUUGUAUCACUGUAUUUACUCAUCCAAACUUAUUUUUAAAUUGAACGAUCCAACGGAAACUCCAAUGGCACAACAGGUAUGUUUACGCAUGUUUCUUUAACAGGUUUGCUCUUAUAAAUAGCUCUGUUGAUUUCAAUUUCAAUUGUGCAUACAGUUGACUUCUCAUAUCAUGCACAUUACUAGCAUCACAACAGGGCCAAUAGUGUUGUUGUACAUGUAGACCCGUGGUACCCAUCUGAAAUCUUAUUGUGUCGUGUAGUUUCCCAUGCUUUGUAUUCUCUCAGUGCUGCUUUCUCUUGAACUGAUAUGAUUUGAACCAUGUCUCUAUUUUGAUUUGGCAAGACAAUGCAGUGACCCUAGGACAUAGAUAUAUGUUUGUUUGAUGCUUUUAUAAUGUACUACUUGGCAAUAGAAGACUUGGUAGUUUAAUCUUGUCCACCUUACUAAUGAACCAGUUCACCAAAAUGAGUUUCAUAUACUAGUACAUGCUAAACCUGUUAUGUGUCUACUUGUUUCUUCUUUUAGAAUGCUGGCAGAAUAUUAGGGAAGAGUGCCUUAUUAAGCAAUGGUAAAGGAAGUAAUGCAGAUAAGGUUCAGAUAGUGAGACAUCCUUGUUGGUCUCCAACAAAGCUAAUAAAACAGCUAAGGAAAACUGUGUUGAAGACAGUGAGACAACCCCAAAGUCCUGUCUUGGUUUACUGUUCGAGUUACUGGCCACUACCGCUUGCACAAGCUAUUCAAACUCACUAUCUGAAUCAGUUCGGUUUCUUGAAUCUCAACUACAAGCUGAAAGUCAUCGAUCAGCUGUGCUGCAACAAGAAGCGGAAGGACUGCGGAAGUCCCUUGAGCAUUCAGAUGCAUACUUUCUGGUGCAACAGAAAGCGUUGGAGGAUUUUAGCGCCAAACAGGACAAAGCUAAUAAGCUUGCUAAACUUAUUGCCAGCAAGGUGGAUACCCAGGAUAACAUUUCUUGAGCUCUUCUGAAGUUGUUUCAGUUAUGGACUCGUUUUGCUGCCGCGUUUAUUUGCACUGGUGGCCAAUUUUGACGGCCAGUGUAUGUAAUAUGCUGCUUUGUUCCCUAUAUUUGCACUGUGUUGGAAAUAUGCCCUAGAGGCAAUAAUAAAGUGGUUAUUAUUAUAUUUCCUUGUUCGUGAUAAUUGUCUGUUGUUCAUGAUAUAAUUGUAUUAACUGGAAACCGUAAUACAUGUGUGAAUACAUAGACCAUAAUAUGUCCCUAGUAAGCCUCUAGUUGACUAGCUCGUUGAUCAAUAGAUGGUUGUGGUUUCCUGACCAUGGACAUUGGAUGUAGUUGAUAACGGGAUCACAUCAUUAGGAGAAUGAUGUGAUGGACAAGACCCAAUCCUAAGCAUACCACAAGAUCGUGUAGUUCGUUUGCUAAGAGAUUUUCUAAUGUCAAGUAUCAUUUCCUUAGACCAUGAGAUUGUGCAACUCCCGGAUACAGUAGGAAUGCUUUGGGUGUACCAAAUGUCACAACGUAACUGGGUGACUAUAAAGGUGCACUACAGGUAGCUCCGAAAGUAUCUGUUGAGUUGGCAUGAAUCGAGACUGGGAUUUGUCACUCCGUAUGACGCAGAGGCAUCUCUGGGCCCACUCGGUAAUGCAUCAUCAUAAUGAGCUCAGUGUGACUAAGGAGUUAGUCACGGGAUCAUGCGUUACGGAAUGAGUAAAGAGACUUGCCGGUAACGAGAUUGAACAAGGUAUAGGGAUACCGACGAUCGAAUCUCGGGCAAGUAACAUGCCGAUAGACAAAGGGAAUUGUAUACGGGAUUGAUUGAAUCCCCGACAUUGUGGUUCAUCCGAUGAGAUUGAUACGUCUCCAACGUAUCUAUAAUUUUUUAUUGUUCCAUGCUAUAUUAUAUUCUGUUUUGGACAUUAUUGGGCUUUAUUAUACACUUUUAUAUUAUUUUUGGGACUAACCUAUUAACCGGAGGCCCAGCCCAGAAUUGCUGUUUUUUGCCUAUUUCAGAGUUUCGCAGAAAAGAAUAUCAAACGGAGUCCAAACGGAAUGAAACCUUCGGGAACGUGAUUUUCAGAACGAACGUGAUCCANNNNNNNNNNNNNNNNNNNNNNNNNNNNNNNNNNNNNNNNNNNNNNNNNNNNNNNNNNNNNNNNNNNNNNNNNNNNNNNNNNNNNNNNNNNNNNNNNNNNNNNNNNNNNNNNNNNNNNNNNNNNNNNNNNNNNNNNNNNNNNNNNNNNNNNNNNNNNNNNNNNNNNNNNNNNNNNNNNNNNNNNNNNNNNNNNNNNNNNNNNNNNNNNNNNNNNNNNNNNNNNNNNNNNNNNNNNNNNNNNNNNNNNNNNNNNNNNNNNNNNNNNNNNNNNNNNNNNNNNNNNNNNNNNNNNNNCGUGGGCCCCCUGUUGCUCCACCGACGUACUCCUUCCUCCUAUAUAUACCUACGUACCCCCAAACUACCAGAUACGGAGCCAAAAACCUAAUUCCACCGCCGCAACCUUCUGUACCCGUGAGAUCCCAUCUUGGGGCCUGUUCCGGAGCUCCGCCGGAGGGGCAUCGAUCACGGAGGGCUUCUACAUCAACACCAUAGCCUCUCCGAUGAAGAGUGAGUAGUUUACCUCAGACCUUCGGGUCCAUAGUUAUUAGCUAGAUGGCUUCUUCUCUCUUUUUGGAUCUCAAUACAAUGUUCUCCCCCUCUCUCAUGGAGAUCUAUUCGAUGUAAUCUUCUUUUGCGGUGUGUUUGUUGAGACCGAUGAAUUGUGGGUUUAUGAUCAAGUUUAUCUAUGAACAAUAUUUGAAUCUCCUCUGAAUUCUUUUAUGUGUGAUUGGUUAUCUUUGCAAGUCUCUUCGAAUUAUCAGUUUGGUUUGGCCUACUAGAUUGAUCUUUCUUGCAAUGGGAGAAGUGCUUAGCUUUGGGUUCAAUCUUGCGGUGUCCUUUCCUAGUGAUAGUAGGGGCAGCAAGGCACAUAUUGUAUUGUUGCCAUCGAGGAUAACAAGAUGGGGUUUAUAUCAUAUUGCAUGAGUUUAUCCCUCUACGUCAUGUCAUCUUGCUUAAAGCGUUACUCUGUUCUUAUGAACUUAAUACUCUAGAUGCAUGCUGGAUAGCGGUCGAUGUGUGGAGUAAUAGUAGUAGAUGCAGGCAGGAGUCGGUCUACUUGUCUUGGACGUGAUGCCUAUAUACAUGAUCGCACCUAGAUAUUCUCAUAACUAUGCUCAAUUCUGUCAAUUGCUCAACAGUAAUUUGUUCACCCACCAUAAAUACUUAUGCUCUCGAGAGAAGCCACUAGUCAAACCUAUGGCCCCCGGGUCUAUUUUCCAUCAUAUUAAUCUCCCAUUAACAAGUUAUUUCUAGCGUCAUUUUUAUUUUGUUUUCUUUACUAUGCAUCUUUAUCAUAAAAAUACCAAAAAUAUUAUCUUAUCAUAUCUAUCAGAUCUCACUCUCGUAAGUGACCGUGUAGGGAUUGACAACCCCUUAUCGCGUUGGUUGCGAGGAUUUAUUUGUUUGUGUAGGUGCGAGGGACUCGUGCGUGGCCUCCUACUGGAUUGAUACCUUGGUUCUCAAAAACUGAGGGAAAUACUUACGCUACUUUGCUGCAUCACCCUUUCCUCUUCAAGGGAAAACCAAUGCAGUGCUCAAGAGGUGGCAAGAAGGAUUUCUGGCGCUGUUGCCGGGGAGGCUUAUGCAAGGUCAAGUCAAGAUUUGGACUCCCGACAACGAGAUUUCUAGCGUUGUUGCCGGGGAGUCUACGCAAAAGUCAACAUACCAAGUACCCAUCACAAACCCUUAUCUCCCGCAUUACAUUAUUUGCCAUUUGCCUCUCGUUUUCCUCUCCCCCACUUCACCCUUUCCGUUUUAUUCGCCCUCUCUUUUUUGUUUGCCUCUUUUUCGCUUGCUUCUUGUUUGCUCAUGUGUUGGAUAGCUUGCUUGUCAUGAUGGCUCAAGAUAACACCAAAUUAUGUGACUUUACCAAUACCAACAAUAAUGAUUUCCUUAGCACUCCGAUUGCUCCUCUUACCGAUACUGAAUCUUGUGAAAUCAAUACUGCUUUGUUGAAUCUUGUCAUGAAAGAUCAAUUCGUCGGCCUUCCUAGUGAAGAUGCCGCUACCCAUCUAAAUAGCUUCGUUGAUUUGUGUGAUAUGCAAAAGAAGAAAGAUGUGGAUAAUGAUAAUGUUAAAUUGAAGCUAUUUCCUUUUUUGCUUAGAGAUCGUGCUAAAGCUUGGUUUUCGUCUUUGCCUAAAAAUAGUAUUGAUUCUUGGAAUAAGUGCAAAGAUGCUUUUAUCUCUAAGUAUUUUCCUCCCUCUAAGAUCAUCUCUCUUAGAAAUGAUAUUAUGAAUUUUAAGCAACUUGAUCAUGAACAUGUUGCACAAGCUUGGGAGAGGAUGAAAUUAAUGAUACGUAAUUGCCCUACGCAUGGUUUGAAUUUGUGGAUGAUUAUACAAAAUUUCUAUGCCGGAUUGAAUUUUGCUUCUAGAAAUCUUUUAGAUUCGGUCGCGGGAGGCACUUUUAUGGAAAUCACUUUAGGAGAAGCUACUAAACUCCUAGAUAAUAUUAUGGUUAAUUAUUCUCAAUGGCACACUGAAAGAUCUACUAAUAAAAAAGUGCAUGCGAUAGAAGAAAUUAAUGUUUUGAGUGGAAAGAUGGAUGAACUUAUGAAAUUAUUUUCUAAUAAAAGUGUUUCUUCUGAUCCUAAUGAUAUGCCUUUGUCUACUUUGAUUGAUAAUAAUAAUGAAUCUUUGGAUGUGAAUUUUGUUGGUAGGAAUAAUUUUGGUAACAACGCGUAUAGAGGAAACUUUAAUCCUAGGCCUUAUCCUAGUAAUUCCUCUAAUAAUUAUGGUAAUUCCUACAACCAUUCUUAUGGAAAUUUUAAUAAGAUGCCCUCUGAAUUUGAGACUAGUGUUAAGGAAUUUAUGAAUUCGCAAAAGAAUUUCAAUGCUUUGCUUGAAGAAAAAUUGCUUAAAGUUGAUGAAUUGGCUAGGAACGUUGAUAGAAUUUCUCUUGAUGUUGAUUCUUUGAAACUUAGAUCUAUUCCACCUAAGCAUGAUAUCAAUGAGUCUCUCAAAGCCAUGAGAAUUUCCAUUGAUGAGUGCAAAGAAAGAACCGCUAGGAUGCGUGCUAAGAAAGAUUGCUUUAUAAAAGCGUGUUCUUCUAAUUUUUAUGAAAACAAAGAUGAAGAUCUAAAAGUUAUUGAUAUGUCCCCUAUUAAAUCUUUGUUUUGCAAUAUGAAUCUUGAUAAUGAUGGGACUGAAUAUGAUCCACCUUUACCUAGAAGGCAUUUCAGAAAUUCUAAGUUUUUAGAUCUUGAUGCUAAAAUUGAUAAAAGUGGGAUUGAAGAGAUCAAAACAUUAGAUAUUAAUGAACCCACUAUUUUGGAUUUCAAGGAAUUUAAUUAUGUUAGCUGAUCUUUAAUAGAUUGUAUUUCCUUGUUGCAGUCUGUGCUAAAUUCUCCUCAUGCUUAUAGCCAAAAUAAAGCUUUUACCAAACAUAUCGUUGAUGCUUUGAUGCAAUCUUAUGAAGAAAAACUUGAGUUGGAAGUUUCUAUCCCUAGAAAACUUUAUGAUGAAUGGGAACCUACUAUUAAAAUUAAAAUUAAAGAUCAUGAAUGCUAUGCUUUGUGUGAUUUGGGUGCUAGUGUUUCCACGAUUCCAAAGACUUUGUGCGAUUUGCUAGGUUUCCGUGAUUUUGAUGAUUGCUCUUUGAACUUGCACCUUGCGGAUUCCACCAUUAAGAAACCUAUGGGAAGAAUUAAUGAUGUUCUUAUUAUUGCAAAUAGGAACUAUGUGCCCAUAGAUUUUAUUGUUCUUGACAUAGAUUGCAAUCCUUCAUGUCCUAUUAUUCUUGGUAGACAUUUCCUUAGAACGAUUGGUGCAAUUAUUGAUAUGAAGGAAGGGAAUAUUAGAUUCCAAUUUCCAUUAAAGAAAGGCAUGGAACACUUCCCUAGAAAGAAAAUAAAAUUACCUUAUGAAUCUAUUAUGAGAGCCACUUACGGAUUGCCUACCAAAGAUGGCAAUACCUAGAUCUAUCCUUGCUAUUAUGCCUAGCUAGGGGCGUUAAACGAUAGCGCUUGUUGGGAGGCAACCCAAUUUUAUUUUUAGUUUUUUGCUUUUUUCUUCUGUUUAGGAAUAAAUCUUUGAUCUAGCCUCUGGUUAGAUGUCUUUUUAUGUUUUAAUUAGUGUUUGUGCCAAGUUUAACCUAUAGGAUCUUCUUGGAUGAUAGUUAUUUGAUCUUGCAGAAAAUUCCAGAAACUUUCUAUUCACGAAAAUAAUUGUUAAAAAUCACCAGAACGUGAUAAAAUAUUGAUUCCAAUUGCUGCUGAUCAAUAAACAAAUUUUCUAGGUCGUCCCAUUUUGGCUGAUGUUUUGGAGUUCCAGAAGUUUGCGUUAGUUACAGAUUACUACAGACUGUUCUGUUUUUGAUAGAUUCUGUUUUUCGUGUGUUGUUUGCUUAUUUUGAUGAAUCUAUGGCUAGUAAAAUUGUUUAUAAACCAUAGAUAAGUUGGAAUACAGUAGGUUUAACACCAAUAUAAAUAAAGAAUGAGUUAAUUACAGUACCUUGAAGUGGUGUUUUGUUUUUUUUCGCUAACGGAGCUCACGAGAUUUUCUGUUAAGUUUUGUGUUGUGAAGUUUUCAAGUUUUGGGUAAAAGAUUUGAUGGAUUAUGGAAGAAGGAGUGGCAAGAUCCUAAGCUUGGGGAUGCCCAAGGCACCCCCAAGAUAAUCUAAGGACACCUAAAAGCCAAAGCUUGGGGAUGCCCCGGAAGGCAUCCCCUCUUUCGUCUACUUCCAUCGGUAACUUUACUUGGAGCUAUAUUUUUAUUCACCACAUGAUAUGUGUUUUCCUUGGAGCGUCUUGUAUUAUUUGAGUAUUUAUUUGUUAGUUUACCACAAUCAUCCUUGCUGUACACACCUUUUGAGAGACACACACAUGAUUCGGAAAUUAUUAGAAUACUCUAUGUGCUUCACUUAUAUCUUUUGAGUUAUAUAGUUUUUGCUCUCGUGCUUCACUUAUAUCUUUUAGAGCACGGUGGUGAUUUUGUUUUAUAGAAAAUAUUGUUCUCUCAUGCUUCACUUAGAUUAUUUUGAGAUUCCUACAAAACAGCAUGGUAGUUUGCUUUAACAAUAAUAGGCAUACAAGAUUAGUAAAAGAAAAAUUCUUAUGAGUGUGUUGAAUACUAUGAGAAGUUUGAUGCUUGAUAAUUGUUUUGAGAUAUGGAGGUGGUGAUAUUAGAGUCAUGCUAGUUGAGUAGUUUUGAAUUUGAGAAAUACUUGUGUUAAAGUUUGUGAUUCCCGUAGCAUGCACGUAUGGUGAACCGUUAUGUGAUGAAGUCGGAGCAUGAUUUAUUUAUUGAUUGUCUUCCUUAUGAGUGGCGGUCGGGGACGAGCGAUGGUCUUUUCCUACCAAUCUAUCCCCCUAGGAGCAUGCACGUAAUACUUUGCUUUGAUAACUUGUAGAUUUUUGCAAUAAGUAUAUGAGUUCUUUAUGACUAAUGUUGAGUCCAUGGAUUAUACGCACUUUUCCUCCUUCCACCAUUGCUAGCCUCUCUAAUACCGCGCACUUUUCGCUGGUAUCAUACACCCACCAUAUACCUUCCUCAAAACAGCCACCAUACCUACCUAUCAUGGCAUUUCCAUAGCCAUUCCAAGAUAUAUUGCCAUGCAACUUACCACCGUUCCGUUUACUAUGACACGCUCCAUCAUUGUCAUAUUGCUUUGCAUGAUCAUGUAGUUGACAUUGUAUUUGUGGCAAAGCCACCGUUCAUAAUUCUUUCAUACAUGUCACCCGCCGGAGGCAUUCAUAUAGAGUCAUAUUUUGUUCUAAGUAUUGAGUUGUAAUUGUUGAGUUGUAAGAAAAUAAAAGUGUGAUGAUCAUCAGUUUUAGAGCAUUGUCCCAAGUGAGGAAAGGAUGAUGGAGAUUAUGAUUCCCCCACAAGUCGGGAUGAGACUCCGGACGAAAAAAAAAGAAAAGAAAAGAGGCCAUAAAAAAGAGAAAAAAAGGCCCAAAUAAAAAAAUGAGAGAAAAAGAGAGAAGGGACAAUGUUACUAUCCUUUUACCACACUUGUGCUUCAAAGUAGCACCAUGAUCUUCAUGAUAGAGAGUCUCCUAUGAUAUCACUUUCAUUUACUAGUGGGAAUUUUUCAUUAUAGAACUUGGCUUGUAUAUUCCAAUGAUGGGCUUCCUCAAAAUGCCCUAGGUCUUCGUGAGCAAGCGAGUUGGAUGCACACCCACUUAGUUUCCUUUGUUGAGCUUUCAUAUACUUAUAGCUCUACUGCAUCCGUUUCAUGGCAAUCCCUACUCACUCACAUUGAUAUCUAUUAAUGGGCAUCUCCAUAGCCUGUUGAUACACCUAGUUGAUGUGAGACUAUCUUCUCCUUUUUGUCGUCUCCACAACCACCGUUCUAUUCCACCUAUAGUGCUAUAUCCAUGGCUCACGCUCAUGUAUUGCGUGAAGAUUGAAAAAGUUUCAGAAUGUCAAAAGUAUGAAACAAUUGCUUGGCUUGUCAUCGGGGUUGUGCAUGAUUUAAAUAUUUUGUGUGGUGAAGAUAGAGCAUAGCCAGACUAUAUGAUUUUGUAGGGAUAACUUUCUUUGGCCAUGUUAUUUUGAGAAGACAUAAUUGCUUAGUUAGUAUGCUUGAAGUAUUAUUAUUUUUAUGUCAAUAUUAAACUUUUAUCUUGAGUCUUUCGGAUCUGAAUAUUCAUACCACAAUUAAGAAGAAUUACAUUGAAAUUAUGCCAAGUAGCAUUCCACAUCAAAAAUUCUGUUUUUAUCAUUUACCUACUCGAGGACGAGCAGGAAUUAAGCUUGGGGAUGUUUGAUGCGUCUCCAACGUAUCUAUAAUUUUUGAUUGUUCCAUGCUAUAUUAUAUUCUGUUUUGGACAUUAUUGGGCUUUAUUAUACACUUUUAUAUUAUUUUUGGACUAACCUAUUAACCGGAGGCCCAGCCCAGAAUUGCUAUUUUUUGCCUAUUUCAGAGUUUCGCGGAAAAAGAAUAUCAAACGGAGUCCAAACGGAAUGAAACCUUCGGGGACAUGAUUUUUGGAACGAACAUGAUCUAGAGGACUUGGACCCUACGUCAAGACAUCAAACAGGAGGCCACGAGGUAGGGGGCGCGCCUACCCCCCCCCCAGGCGCGCCCUCCACCCUCGUGGGCCCCCUGUUGCUCCACCGACGUACUCCUUCCUUCUAUAUAUACCUACGUACCCCCAAACUACCAGAUACGGAGCCAAAAACCUAAUUCCACCGCCGCAAUCUUCUGUACCCGUGAGAUCCCAUCUUGGGGCCUGUUCCGGAGCUCCGCCAGAGGGGGCAUCGAUCACGGAGGGCUUCUACAUCAACACCAUAGCCUCUCCGAUGAAGUGUGAGUAGUUUACCUCAGACCUUCGGGUCCAUAGUUAUUAGCUGGAUGGCUUCUUCUCUCUUUUUGGAUCUCAAUACAAUGUUCUCCCCCUCUCUCCUGGAGAUCUGUUCGAUGUAAUCUUCUUUUGCGGUGUGUUUGUUGAGAUCGAUGAAUUGUGGGUUUAUGAUCAAGUUUAUCUAUGAACGAUACUUGAAUCUCCUCUGAAUUCUUUUAUGUAUGAUUGGUUAUCUUUGCAAGUCUCUUCGAAUUAUCAGUUUGGUUUGGCCUACUAGAUUGAUCUUUCUUGCAAUGGGAGAAGUGCUUAGCUUUGGGUUCAAUCUUGCGGUGUCCUUUCCCAGUGACAGUAGGGGCAGCAAGGCACGUAUUGUAUUGUUGCCAUCGAGGAUAACAAGAUGGGGUUUAUAUCAUAUUGCAUGAGUUUAUCCCUCUACAUCAUGUCAUCUUGCUUAAAGCGUUACUCUAUUCUUAUGAACUUAAUACUCUAGAUGCAUGUUGGAUAGCGGUCGAUGUGUGGAGUAAUAGUAGUAGAUGCAGGCAGGAGUCGGUCUACUUGUCUCGGACGUGAUGCCUAUAUACAUGAUCAUACCUAGAUAUUCUCAUAACUAUGCUCAAUUCUGUCAAUUGCUCAACAGUAAUUUGUUCACCCACCGUAAAUACUUAUGCUCUCGAGAGAAGCCACUAGUCAAACCUAUGGCCCCCGGGUCUAUUUUCCAUCAUAUUAAUCUCCCAUCAACAAGUUAUUUCUAGCGUUGUUUUUAUUUUGUUUUCUUUACUUUGCAUCUUUAUCAUAAAAAUACCAAAAAUAUUAUCUUAUCAUAUCUAUCAGAUCUCACUCUCGUAAGUGACCGCGUAGGGAUUGACAACCCCUUAUCGCGUUGGUUGCGAGGAUUUAUUUGUUUGUGUAGGUGCGAGGGACUCGUGCGUGGCCUCCUACUAGAUUGAUACCUUGGUUCUCAAAAACUGAGGGAAAUACUUACGCUACUUUGUUGCAUCACCCUUUCCACUUCAAGGGAAAACCAACGCAGUGCUCAAGAGGUAGCAGAGAUCAUCGUGGAACAUUGAUGUCUACUACGCAACCUUCUCCUUGUAGACGUUGUUGGGCCUCCAAGUGCAGAGGUUUGUAGGACAGUAGAAAAUUUCCCUCAAGUGGAUGACCUAAGGUUUAUCAAUCCGUGGGAGGUGUAGGAUGAAGAUGGUCUCUAUCAAACAAUCCUGCAACCAAAUAACAAAGAGUCUCUUGUGUCCCCAACACACCCAAUACAAUGGUAAAUUGUAUAGGUGCACUAGUUCGGCGAAGAGAUGGUGAUACAAGUGCAAUAUGGAUGGUAGAUAUAGGUUUUUGUAAUCUGAAAAUAUAAAAACAGCAAGGUAACUAAUGAUAAAAGUGAGCAUAAACGGUAUUGCAAUGCGUUGAAACAAGGCCUAGGGUUCAUACUUUCACUAGUGCAAGUUCUCUCAACAAUAAUAACAUAAUUGGAUCAUAUAACUAUCCCUCAACAUGCAACAAAGAGUCACUCCAAAGUCACUAAUAGCGGAGAACAAACGAAGAGAUUAUGGUACGGUGCGAAACCACCUCAAAGCUAUUCUUUCUGAUCGAUCUAUUCAAGAGUCCAUAGUAAAAUAACAUGAAGCUAUUCUUUCCGUUCAAUCUAUCAUUGAGUUCGUACUAGAAUAACACCUUAAGACACAAAUCAACCAAAACCCGAAUGUCACCUAGAUACUCCAAUGUCACCUCAAGUAUCCGUGGGUAUGAUUAUACGAUAUGCAUCACACAAUCUCAGAUUCAUCUAUUCAACCAACACAAAGUACUUCAAAGAGUGCCCCAAAGUUUCUACUGGAGAGUCAAGAAGAAAAUGUGUGCCAACCCCUAUGCAUAGGUUCAUGGGCGGAACCCGCAAGUUGAUCACCAAAACAUACAUCAAGUGAAUCAAUAGAAUACCCCAUUGUCACCACGGGUAUCCCACGCAAGACAUACAUCAAGUGUUCUCAAAUCCUUAAAGACUCAAUCCGAUAAGAUAACUUCAAAGGGAAAACUCAAUCCAUUACAAGAGAGUAGAGGGGGAGAAACAUCAUAAGAUCCAACUAUAAUAGCAAAGCUCGCGAUACAUCAAGAUCGUAUCACCUCAAGAACACGAGAGAGAGAGACAGAGAGAUCAAAAAACAUAGCUACUGGUACAUACCCUCAGCCCCGAGGGUGAAGUACUCCCUCCUUGUCAUGGAGAGCGCCGGGAUGAUGAAGAUGGCCACCGGUGAGGGAUCCCCCCUCCGGCAAGGUGCCGGAACAGGGUCCCAAUUGGUUUUUGGUGGCUACAGAGGCUUGCGGCGGCGGAACUCCCGAUCUAUUCUAUUCCCCGAUGGUUUUAGGGUAUAUUGAUAUAUAUAUAGGCGAAAGAAGUCGGUCAGGGGAGCCACGAGGGGCCCACGAGGGUGGAGGGCGCGCCCAGGGGGUGGGCGCGCCCCCCUGCCUCGUGCCUUCCUCGUUGCUUCCCUUACGUGCACUCCAAGUCCCCUGGAUUGCUUCCGUUCCAAAAAUAACUCUCUCGAAGGUUUCAUUCCGUUUGGACUCCGUUUGAUAUUCCUUUUCUGCAAAACACUAAAACAAGGGGAAAACAGAAAUUGGCACUGGGCUCUGGGUUAAUAAGUUAGUCCCAAAAAUAAUAUAAAAGUGCAUAGUAAAGCCCAUUAAACAUCCAAGAUGGAUAAUAUAAUAGCAUGAAUACUUCAUAAAUUAUAGAUACGUUGGAGACAUAUCAGCAUCCCCAAGCUUAAUUCCUGCUCGUCCUCGGGUAGGUAAAUGAUAAAAGAAAGAAUUUAUGAAGUGUGAAUGCUAGCAGGUGCAUAAGUUUGAUCAAUGAUAAUUUCAAUCACCUUUUCUAGCAUCAUUAUAUGUCAUAACAGUAGCUCAACUCAUAGAACUUUUCAUGAUCAAGUAACAAACUAUUCACAUGUUAAAGUAUAAAUCAUAAACCUUCUUGAAAACUAACAAACCGUGUUAUUAGUCAUCAAACAAUUACAAUUCAUCUUAUUUUCAGGAAGAGUCUAUGUCAGAGCUUUGAUUCAACAAACUUCAUAUACUCAACUAUCAUUGAGUCUUCCAUGAUUGCUACCACUCAAAGCAUAUUUUUAGAACAAAUAGUAUUCAUCGAACACAGAGAAAGAUAGGGGCUUAAUGUUUCGCCUCCCAACCUUUUACCUCAAGGGUAAUGUCAACAGUAAUAAUUCAUGCUCAAAUAUAUUUGAAUGGCCAUAUAUGCUUAGAUCUUUCCAUCACAUGAUGCUUGCCAACUAAAGAGUAUGUUGGAAUGAGAAGGAAUACUACUGACUCUUGCAUAAAAGUAAAAGAUAGGCCCUUCGCAGAGGGAAGCAGGGAUUUGCAGAGGUGCCAGAGCUCGAAGCAAAAACAGAGAUGAAAAUAAUUUUGAGAGGUAUGCUUUCAUUGUCAACAUAACGAACAAGAGUUCCCAAUAUCUUCCAUACUAGAUACAUUAUAGGUGGUUCCCACGCAGAAAGUUAAAGUUUUUACUCCCCCUCCACCAACAUUCACACUCCAUGGCUUGUCCGAAACAACGGGUGCCGUCCAACUAUCAACAUUCCUGGGGGAGUUUUGUUUAAAUUAUUUGUGAUUUUGUUUUUUAUCUUUUGAUCAUAGGACUGGGCAUCCUAGUUACCAGCCAUUUUCUCGUGAAUGAUGAGCGGAGUCCACUCAUCGUGAGAAUAACCCACCUAGCAUGGAAGAUACUGACAGCCCCUAGUCGCUACAUGAGCGAUUCGGGCAUACAAAACAGAUUAUUAUUUGAAGGUUUAGAGUUUGGCACAUGCAAAUUUACUUGGAACGGUAGGUAAAUACCGCAUAUAGGUAGAUAUGGUGGACACUCAUGGAAGAAACUUGGUUCAAGGAAUUUGGAUGCGCAAGCAGUAUUCCCGCUUAGUACAGAUAUUUUGGCUAGCAAGGGAUUCUAAAUAGCAAGCACCACAUGUUAGAGGAUCCAUAACAAUAUAACUUCUAUACAAAUAUACCCAAGCAUAACUCAUUAUGUUGUCUUCCUUGUCCAAUUUCAACUAAUUUGCUCAGGUUUGAAAAUAAUUAAUGGGGCUCACAAUCAUAGAAGAUGUCCAAGAUAGUAUAUUUAUAUGUGAAAUCUCUCUUCCUUCAAUAUUCUUUCAUGAAUUGUUCAAGUGACCAAUACAAUGUUUGCUAACCUUCAAUAAAUUUACUACCUCUACUUCUUAUAUGUGAAGUCAUUACUCCCCAUGGGAUAAGCAUAUGAAACAUAUAUAAUUUCAGAUUUAUGAUAUUCAAAUCAUUCAACCAUUUACUCAUAGGAUAUAAGUGAAGCACACGAGUAAAUGACAAACUACUCCAGAAAGAUAUAAGUGAAGAUCAAUGAGUAGUUAAAUAAUUAUGUAGCUAUGUGAAGACUCUCUCUCAUUUAAGAAUUUCAGAUCUUUGUAUUUUAUUCAAACAGCAAGAAAAGCUAAAGAAAAUAAAAUGACGCUCCAAGCAAAACACAUAUCAUGUGGUGAAUAAAAAUAUAGCUCCAAGUAAAGUUACCGAUGAACGAAGACGAAAGAGGGGAUGCCAUCCGGGGCAUCCCCAAGCUUAGGCUCUUGGUUGUCCUUGAAUAUUACCUUGGGGUGCCUUGGGCAUCCCCAAGCUUAGGCUCUUUCCACUCCUUAUUCCAUAGUCCAUCGUAUCUUUACCCAAAACUUGAAAACUUCACAACAUAAAACUUAACAGAAGAUCUCGUGAGCUCCAUUAGCGAAAGAAAACAAAACACCACUUCAAGGUACUGUAAUUAACUCAUUAUUUAUUUAUAUUGGUGUUAAACCUACUGUAUUCCAACUUCUCUAUGGUUUAUAAACUAUUUUACUAGCCAUAGAUUCAUCAAAAUAAGCAAACAACACAUAGAAAACAGAAUCUGUCAAAAACAGAACAGGCUGUAGUAAUAUGUAUCAAACGUAUACUUAUGGAACUCCAAAAAUUCCAAAAUAAAUUUGUGGACCUGAGGAAUUUGUCUAGUAAUCAUCUGCAAAAAGAAUCAACUAAAUAUCACUCUCCAGUAAAAAGUUUUAGCUAAUCUCGUGAGCGCUAAAGUUUCUGUUUUUUACAGCAUGAUCAUAAAGACUUCACCCAAAUCUUCCCAAAGGUUCUACUUGGCACAAACACUAAUUAAAACAUAAAACCACAUCUAACCAGAGGAUAGAUGAAAUAUUUAUUACUAAACAGAACCAAAAAGCAAGAGACUAAAAUAAAAUUGGGUUGCCUCCCAACAAGCGCUAACGUUUAACGCCCCUAGCUAGGCAUGAUGAUUUCAAUGAUGCUCACAUAAAAGAUAAGAAUUGAAACAUAAAGAGAGCAUCAUGAAGAAUAUGACUAGCACAUUUAAGUCUAAACCACUUCCUAUGCAUAGGGAUUUUGUGAGCAGACAAUUUAUGGGAACAAUAAUCAACUAGCAUAGGAAGGCAAAACAAGUAUAACUUCAAAAUUUUCAACACAUAGAGAGGAAACUUGAUAUUAUUGAAAUUCCUACAAGCAUAUGUUCCUCCCUUGUAAUAAUUUUCAGUAGCAUAAUGAAUGAAUUCAACAAUAUAACCAGGACCUAAAGCAUUCUUUUCAUGAUCUACUUGCAUAGAAAUUUUACUACUCUCCACAUAAGCAAAUUUCUUCUCAUGAAUAAUAGUGGGAGCAAACUCCACAAAAUAACUAUCAUGUGAGGCAUAAUCCAAUUGAAAACUAAAAUCAUGAUGACAAGUUUCAUGGUUAUCAUUAUUCUUAAUAGCAUACAAAUCAUAACAAUAAUCAUCAUAGAUAGCAACUUUGUUCUCAUAAUCAAUUGGAACCUCUUCCGAAAUAGUGGAUUCAUUACUAAAUAAAGUCGUGACCUCUCCAAAUCCACUUUCAUAAUUAUCACAAUAAUAUUCAACAUCCUCCAAAAUAGUGGGAACAUUACUUCCUAAAGUUGACACUCUUCCAAACCCACUUUCAUCAAUAUAAUCAUCAUAAAUAGGAGGCACGCUAUCAUCAUAAUAAAUUUGCUCAUCAAAACUUGGGGGGCAAAACAUAUCAUCUUCAUCAAACAUAGCAUCCCCAAGCUUGUGGCUUUGCAUAUCAUUAGCAUCAUGGAUAUUCAAGGAAUUCAUACUAACAACAUUGCAUUCAUGCUCAUCAUUCAAAUAUUUUAUGCCAAGCAUUCUAUGUAAUUCUUCUUCUAGUACUUGAGCACAAUUUUCUUUCCCAUCAUUUUCACGAAAGACAUUAAAAAGAUGAAGCAUAUGAGGCACCCUUAAUUCCAUUUUUUGUAGUUUUCUUUUAUAAACUAAACUAGUGAUAAAAAAGAAACUAAAAGAUUCGAUUGCAAGAUCUAAAGAUAUACCUUCAAGCACUCACCUCCCCGGCAACGGCGCCAGAAAAGAGCUUAGUUGACGGGGUGUGAGUGCCGCUUACCUAGCCUCCCCGGCAACGGCGCCAGAAAAGAGCUUGAUGUCUACUACGCAACCUUCUCCUUGUAGACGUUGUUGGGCCUCCAAGUGCAGAGGUUUGUAGGACAGUAGCAAAUUUCCCUCAAGUGCAUGACCUAAGGUUUAUCAAUCUGUGGGAGGUGUAGGAUGAAGAUGGUCUCUCUCAAACAACCCUGCAACCAAAUAACAAAGAGUCUCUUGUGUCCCCAACACACCCAAUACAAUGGUAAAUUGUAUAGGUGCACUAGUUCGGCGAAGAGAUGGUGAUACAAGUGCAAUAUGGAUGGUAGAUAUAGGUUUUUGUAAUCUGAAAAUAUAAAAACAGCAAGGUAACUACUGAUUAAAGUGAGCACAAACGGUAUUGCAAUGCGUUGAAACAAGGGCUAGGGUUCAUACUUUCACUAGUGCAAGUUCUCUCAACAAUAAUAACAUAAUUGGAUCAUAUAACUAUCCCUAAACAUGCAAAAAAGAGUCACUCCAAAGUCACUAAUAGCGGAGAACAAACGAAGAGAUUAUGGUAGGGUACGAAACCACCUCAAAGCUAUUCUUUUUGAUCGAUCUAUUCAAGAGUCUGUAGUAAAAUAACACAAAGCUAUUCUUUCCGUUCAAUCUAUCAUAGAGUUCGUACUAGAAUAACACCUUAAGACACAAAUCAACCAAAACCCUAAUGUCACCUAGAUACUCCAAUGUCACCUCAAGUAUCCGUGGGUAUGAUUAUACGAUAUGCAUCACACAAUCUCAGAUUCAUCUAUUCAACCAACACAAAGUACUUCAAAGAGUGCCCCAAAGUUUCUACCAGAGAGUCAAGAAGAAAACGUGUGCCAACCCCUAUGCAUAGGUUCAUGGGCGGAACCCGCAAGUUGAUCACCAAAACAUACAUCAAGUGAAUCAAUAGAAUACCCCAUUGUCACCACGGGUAUCCCACGCAAGACAUACAUCAAGUGUUCUCAAAUCCUUAAAGACUUAAUCCGAUAAGAUAACUUCAAAGGGAAAACUCAAUCCAUUACAAGAGAGUAGAGGGGGAGAAACAUCAUAAGAUCCAACUAUAAUAGCAAAGCUCGCGAUACAUCAAGAUCGUAUCACCUCCAGAACACGAGAGAGAGAGAGAGAGAGAGAGAGAGAGAUCAAACACAUAGCUACUGGUACAUACCCUCAGCCCCGAGGGUGAAGUACUCCCUCCUUGUCAUGGAGAGCGCCGGGAUGAUGAAGAUGGCCACCGGUGAGGGAUCCCCCCUCCGGUAGGGUGCCGGAACAGGGUCCCAAUUGGUUUUUGGUGGCUACAGAGGCUUGCGGCGGCGGAACUCCCGAUCUAUUUGUUCCCCUGUGGUUUUAGGGUAUAUUGAUAUAUAUAGGCGAAAGAAGUCGGUCAGGGGAGCCACGAGGGUGGAGGGCGCGCCCAGGGGGGUGGGCGCGCCCCCCUGCGUCGUGCCUUCCUCGUUGCUUCCCUUACGUGCACUCCAAGUCCCCUGGAUUGCUUCCGUUCCAAAAAUAACUCUCCCGAAGGUUUCAUUCCGUUUGGACUCCGUUUGAUAUUCCUUUUCUGCGAAACACUAAAACAAGGGAAAAAACAGAAACUGGCACUGGGCUCUAGGUUAAUAAGUUAGUCCCAAAAAUAAUAUAAAAGUGCAUAGUAAAGCCCAUUAAACAUCCAAGAUGGAUAAUAUAAUAGCAUGAAUACUUCAUAAAUUAUAGAUACGUUGGAGACGUAUCAAACAUGUGGGAGCCAAUAUGGGUAUCCAGAUCCCGCUAUUAGUUAUUGGCCGAAGAGGUGUCUCGUUCAUGUCUGCAUGGUUCCCGAACCCGUAGGGUCUGCACACUUAAGGUUCGGUGACGCUAGAGUUGUCAUGGCAAAUAGUAUGUGGUUACCGAAGGUUGUUCGGAGUCCCGGAUGAGAUCUCGGACAUGACGAGGAACUCCGGAAUGGUCCGGAGGUGAAGAUCGAUAUAUUGGACGAAGGGUAUUGGAGUCCGGAAUUGUUCCGGGGGUACCGGGUGACGACCAGCGUGUCCGAAAGGGGUUUCGGAGGCCCCGGCAAGCGUUGGGGGCCUUAUGGGCCAAGGGGAGGGGGCACAUCAGCCCACUAAGGGGCUGAGCGCCCCUCCCACCCAUCUCACGUAACCUGGAGAGGUGGGGGCGCCUCCCCUAGGGCAGCCACCCCUCCCGGCUUGGGGGCAAGUUUCCUAGGGGUGGGGGCGCCCAAACCCAUCUAGGGUUUCCCCUGUGGUCGCCGCCCCUCCCCUAGGGAAACCCUAGGGCGCCUCCUCCUCCCCCCUUCCCCCUAUAUAUAGUGAGGGAGAGAGAGGGCAGCGGCACCCUUCCCCUGGUGCAGCCCUGCUCCUUCCUACACCUCCUCCUCCUCUGUAGUGCUUAGCGAAGCUCUGCCGGAGAACCACGAGCUCCAUCGCCACCGCGCCGUCAUGCUGCUGGAGUUCUCCCUCAACUUCUCCUCCCCCCUUGCUGGAUCAAGAAGGAGGAGACGUCCCCGGGCUGUACAUGUGUUGAACGCGGAGGCGCCGUCCGUUCGGCGCUAGAUCGGAUCUUCCACGAUUUGAAUCACCGCGAGUACGACUCCAUCAACCGCGUUCUUCUAACGCUUCCGCUUAGCGAUCUUCAAGGGUAUGAAGAUGCACUCCCUCUCUCUCGUUGCUAGCAUCUCCUAGAUUGAUCUUGGUGACACGUAGGAAAAUUUUAAAUUAUUACUACAUUCCCAACAGUGGCAUCAUGAGCUAGGUUUAUGCGUAGAUUCCAUGCACGAGUGGAACACAAAGUAGUUGUGGGCGAUGAUUUGGUCAAUUUGCUUACCGUUACUACUCUUAUCUUGAUUCGGCGGCAUUGUGGGAUGAAGCGGCCCGGACCGACCUUACAUGUACGCUUACGUGAGACUGGUUCCACCGACCGACAUGCACUUGAUGCAUAAGGUGGCUAGCGGGUGUCUGUCUCUCCCACUUUAGUCGGAUCGGAUUCGAUGAAAAGGGUCCUUAUGAAGGGUAAAUAGCAAUUGGCAUAUCACCGUUGUGGAUUUUGUGUAUGUAACAAACGUUCUUGCUAGAAACCCGUAGCAGCCACGUAAAACAUGCAACAACUAUUAGAGGACGUCUAACUUGUUUUUGCAGGGUAUGCUAUGUGAUGUGGUAUGGCCAAAAGGAUGUGAUGAAUGAUAUAUGUGAUGUAUGAGAUUGAUCAUGUUCUUGUACUAGGAAUCACGACUUGCAUGUCGAUGAGGAUGACAACCGGCAGGAGCCAUAGGAGUUGUCUUAAUUUAUUGUAUGACCUGCGUGUAAUUGAAAACGCCAUGAAAUUACUUUAGUUUAUUGCUAACUGUUAGCCAUAGUAGUAGAAGUAAUAGUUGGCGAGACAACUUCAUGAAGACACGAUGAUGGAGAUCAUGGUGUCAUGCCGGUGACGAAGGUGAACAUGCCGCGCCUCGAAGAUGGAGAUCAAAGGCGCAAGAUGAUAUUGGCCAUAUCAUGUCACUUUAUGAUUUGCAUGUGAUGUUUGUCAUGUUUACAUCUUAUUUGCUUAGAACGACGGUAGCAAAAAUAAGAUGAUCCCUCACUAAAAUUUCAAGAAAUGUGCUCCCCCUAACUGUGCACCAUUGCGAAGGUUUGUUGUUUUGAAGCACCACGUGAUGAUCGAGUGUGAUAGAUUCUAACGUUCGCAUACAAUGGGUGUAAGCCAGAUUUACACAUGUGAAACACUUAGGUUGACUUGACGAGCCUAGCAUGUACCGACAUGGCCUUGGAACACAAGAGACCGAAAGGUUGAACAUGAGUAGUAUAGUAGAUACAAUCAACAUGGGGAUGUUCACCGUUGAUGACUAGUCCGUCUCACGUGAUGAUCGGACACGGCCUAGUCGAUUCGGAUCAUGUAACACUUAGAUGACUAGAGGGAUGUCUAUCCGAGUGGGAGUUCAUUAAAUAAUUUGAUUAGGUGAACUUAAUUAUCAUGAACUUAGUAUAAAAUAUCUUUACAAUAUGUCUUGUAGAUCAAAUGGCCCACGCUAAUGUUGCCCUCAACUUCAACGUGUUCAUAGAGAAAACCAAGCUGAAAGAUGAUGGUAGCAACUGCACGGACUGGGUCUGUAACUUGAGGAUCAUCCUUAUAGCUGCCAAGAAAGCAUAUGUCCUUGAAGCACCGCUAGCUGACGCACCCAUUUUCCUAGCAACUCAAGACGUUAUGAACGCCUGGCAGUCGCGUAGUGAUGAUUACUCCCUGGUUCAGUGCGGCAUGCUUUACGGCUUAGAACCGGAGCUCCAAAAGCGUUUCGAGCAGCACAGAGCAUAUGAGAUGUUCCAAGAGCUGAAAAUGGUUUUCCAAGCUCAUGCCCGGGUCGAGAGAUAUGAAGUCUCCGACAAGUUCUACAGUUGUAAGAUGGAGGAAAACAGUUAUGUCAGCGAGCAUAUACUCAAGAUGUCUGGGUUGCACAACCGCUUGUCUCAGCUGGGAGUUAAUCUUCCAGAUGACUCAGUCAUUGACAAGAUCCUCCAAUCGCUUCCACCUAGCUACAAGAGCUUUGUGAUGAACUACAAUAUGCAAGGGAUGGAGAAGUCCAUUCCUGAGUUAUAUUCAAUGCUGAAAUCAGCGGAGGUGGAAAUCAAAAAGGAACAUCAAGUGUUGAUGGUGAAUAAGAGCACUAGUUUCAAGAAAGGCAAGGGUAAGAAGAACUUCAAGAAGGGCGGCAAGGAAGUUGCCGCGCCCGGUAAAUCAGUUGCCGGGAAGAAGCCAAAGAAUGGACCCAAGCCUAAGACUCAGUGCUUUUAUUGCAAGGGAAAUGGUCACUGGAAACGGAACUGCCCCAAGUACUUAGCGGAUAAGAAGGCCGGCAAUGCCAAAGGUAUAUAUGAUAUACAUGUUAUUGAUGUGUACCUUACCAGCACUCGUAGUAGCUCCUUGGUAUGUGAUACCGGUGCGGUUGCUCAUAUUUGUAACUCAAAACAGGAGCUGCGGAAUAAGCGGAGACUGGCGAAGGACGAGGUGACGAUGCGCGUCGGGAAUGGUUCCGAGGUCGAUGUGAUCGCCGUCGGCACGCUACCUCAACAUCUACCUUCAGGAUUAGUUUUAAACCUCAAUAAUUGUUAUUUAGUGCUAGCUUUGAGCAUGAACAUUGUAUCUGGAUCUCGUUUAAUGCGAGAUGGCUAUUCAUUUAAAUCCGAAAAUAAUGGUUGUUCUAUUUAUAUGAGAGAUAUGUUUUAUGGUCAUGCUCCGCUGGUCAAUGGUUUAUUUUUAUUAAAUCUCGAACGUGAUGUUACACAUAUUCAUAGUGUGAAUACCAAAAGAUGUAAGGUUGAUAAUGAUAGUCCCACAUACUUGUGGCACUGCCGCCUUGGUCACAUUGGUGUCAAACGCAUGAAGAAACUCCAUGCAGAUGGACUUUUGGAGUCUCUUGAUUAUGAAUCAUUUGACACGUGAGAACCAUGCCUUAUGGGCAAAAUGACCAAGACUCCGUUCUCCGGAAUAACGGAGCGAGCAACCAACUUGUUGGAAAUCAUACAUACCGAUGUGUGCGGUCCAAUGAGCGUUGAGGCUCGCGGUGGCUAUCGUUAUGUUCUCACCCUCACUGAUGACUUAAGUAGAUAUGGGUAUGUCUACUUAAUGAAACACAAGUCUGAGACCUUUGAAAAGUUCAAGGAAUUUCAGAGUGAGGUAGAGAAUCAACGUGACAGGAAAAUAAAGUUCUUACGAUCAGAUCGUGGAGGAGAAUAUUUGAGUCACGAUUUUGGUACGCACCUAAGGAAAUAUGGAAUUGUUUUACAACUGACGCUGCCUGGAACACCUCAGCGUAAUGGUGUGUCCGAACGUCGUAAUCGCACUCUAUUGGAUAUGGUGCGAUCUAUGAUGUCUCUUACCGAUCUACCGCUAUCAUUUUGGGGUUAUGCUUUAGAGACAGACGCAUUCACUUUAAAUAGGGCACCAUCUAAAUCCGUUGAGACGACACCAUAUGAAUUAUGGUUUGGGAAGAAACCUAAGCUGUCAUUUCUAAAAGUUUGGGGAUGCGAUGCUUAUGUCAAGAAACUUCAACCUGAAAAGCUCGAACCCAAGUCGGAAAAAUGCGUCUUCAUAGGAUACCCUAAGGAAACUAUUGGGUAUACCUUCUACCUCAGAUCUGAAGGCAAGAUCUUUGUUGCCAAGAAUGGAUCCUUUCUAGAGAAAGAGUUUCUCUCGAAAGAAGUAAGUGGGAGGAAAGUAGAACUUGAUGAGAUACCCCCUCUUGAACCGGAAAGUAGCGCAGCUCAGGAAAAUGUUUCUGUGGUGCCUUCACCGAUUAGAGAGGAAGUUAAUGAUGAUGAUCAUGAAACUUCGGAUCAAGUUGUUACUGAACUUCGUAAGGACACGUUCCGCACUAGAGUGGUACGGCAACCCUGUCCUAGAAAUCAUGUUGUUAGACAACAGUGAACCUUCGAACUAUGAAGAAGCGAUGGCGGGCCCGAAUUCCAACAAAUGGCUUGAAGCCAUGAAAUCUGAGAUAGGAUCCAUGUAUGAAAACAAAGUAUGGACUUUGACAGGCUUGCCCGAUGAUCGGCAAGCCAUAGAAAGUAAGUGGAUCUUUAAGAAGAAGACUGGCGCGGAUGGUAAUGUGACCGUCUAUAAGGCUCGGCUUGUCGCUAAGGGUUAUCGAUAAGUUCAAGGGGUUGACUACGAUGAGACCUUCUCACCCGUAGCGAAGCUGAAGUCCGUCCGAAUCAUGUUAGCAAUUGCCGCAUUCUAUGAUUAUGAGAUCUGGCAAAUGGACGUCAAAAUGGCAUUCCUUAAGGGUUUCCUUAAGGAAGAAUUGUAUAUGAUGUAGCUGGAAGGUUUUGUCGAUCCUAAGAAUGCUGACAGGUAUGCAAGCUCCAGCACUCCAUCUAUGGGCUGGUGCAAGCAUCUCGGAGUUGGAACAUUCACUUUAAUGAAAUGAUCAAAGCGUUUGGGUUUAUGCAGACUUAUGGAGAAGCCUGUGUUUACAAGAAAGUGAGUGGGAGCUCUGUAGCAUUUCUCAUAUUAUAUGUGGAUGUCAUACUAUUGAUGGGAAAUGAUAUAAAACUUUUGGAAAGCAUAAACGCCUACUUGAAUAAAUGUUUUUCAAUGAAGGACCUUGGAGAAGCUGCUUACAUAUUAGGCGUCAAGAUCUAUAGAGAUAGAUCGAGAUGCCUCAUUGGUCUUUCACAAAGCACAUACCUUGACAAGAUAUUGAAGAAGUUCAAUAUGGAUCAGUCCAAGAAGGGGUUCUUGCCUAUAUUGCAAGGUGUGAGAUUGAGCACGGCUCAAUGCCCGACCUCGGCAGAAGAUAGAGAAAAGCUGGGUGUCAUCCCCUAUGCCUCAGCCAUAGGGUCUAUUAUGUAUGCCAUGUUGUGUACCAGACCUGAUGUGAACCUUGCCAUAAGUUUGGUAGGGAGGUACCAAAGUAAUCCCGGUAUGGAACACUGGACAACGGUCAAGAAUAUCCUGAAGUACCUGAAAAGGACUAAGGAUAUGUUUCUCGUUUAUGGAGGUGAAGAAGAGCUCGUCGUAAAGGGUUACGUCGAUGCUAGUUUCGACACAGAUCCAGAUGACUCCAAGUCACAAACCGGAUACGUGUAUAUUUUGAAUGGUGGGGCAGUCAGCUGGUGCAGUUGCAAGCAAAGCGUCGUGGCGGGAUCUACAUGUGAAGCCGAGUACAUAGCAGUCUCGGAGGCAGCACAGGAAGCAGUCUGGAUGAAGGAGUUCAUCACCGACCUAGGAGUUAUUCCCAAUGCGUCGGGCCCGAUGACUCUCUUCUGUGACAACACUGGAGCUAUUGCUCUUGCCAAGGAGCCCAGGUUUCACAAGAAGACCAGACAUAUCAAGCGUCGCUUCAACUCCAUUCGUGAAUAUAUUCAAGAUGGAGACAUAAAUAUUUGUAAAGUACAUACGGAUCUGAAUGUCGCAGAUCCGUUGACUAAACCUCUUCCAUGAGCAAAACAUGAUCAACACCAGAACUCUAUGGGUGUUCGAUUCAUCACAAUGUAACUAGAUUACUGACUCUACUGCAAGUGGGAGACUGUUGGAAAUAUGCCCUAGAGGCAAUAAUAAAGUGGUUAUUAUUAUAUUUCCUUGUUCAUGAUAAUUUUCUGUUGUUCAUGCUAUAAUUGUAUUAACUGGAAACCGUAAUACAUGUGUGAAUACAUAAACCGUAAUAUGUCCCUAGUAAGCCUCUAGUUGACUAGCUCGUUGAUCAAUAGAUGGUUGUGGUUUCCUGACCAUGGACAUUGGAUGUCGUUGAUAACGGGAUCACAUCAUUAGGAGAAUGAUGUGAUGGACAAGACCUAGUCCUAAGCAUAGCACAAGAUCGUGUAGUUCGUUUGCUAAGAGCUUUUCUAAUGUCAAGUAUGAUUUCCUUAGACCAUGAGAUUGUGCAACUCCCGGAUACUGUAGGAAUGCUUUGGGUCUACCAAACGUCACAACGUAACUAGGUGACUAUAAAGGUGCACUAUAGGUAGCUCCGAAAGUAUCUGUUGAGUUGGCACGAAUCGAGACUGGGAUUUGUCACUCUGUAUGACGGAGAGGUAUCUUUGGGCCCACUCGGUAAUGCAUCAUCAUAAUGAGCUCAGUGUGACUAAGGAGUUAGUCACGGGAUCAUGCAUUACUGAACGAGUAAAGAGACUUGCCGGUAACGAGAUUAAACAAGGUAUAGGGAUACCGACGAUCGAAUCUCGGGCAAGUAACAUGUCGAUAGACAAAGGGAAUUGUAUACGGGAUUGAUUGAAUCCCCGACAUUGUGGUUCAUCCGAUGAGAUCAUCGUGGAACAUGUGGGAGCCAAUAUGGGUAUCCAGAUCCCGCUAUUGGUUAUUGGCCAGAGAGGUGUCUCGGUCAUGUCUGCAUGGUUCCCGAACCCGUAGGGUCUACACAUUUAAGGUUUGGUGACGCUAGAGUUGUCAUGGGAAAUAUUAUGUGGUUACCGAAGGUUGUUCGGAGUCCCAAAAGAGAUCCUGGACAUGACGAGGAACUCCGGAAUGGUCCGGAGGUGAAGAUCGAUAUAUUGGAGAAAGGGUAUUCGAGUCCGGAAUUGUUCCGGGGGUACCGGGUGACGACCAACGUGUCCGAAAGGGGUUUCGGAGGCCCCGACAAGCGUUGGGGGCCUUAUGGGCCAAGGGGAGGGGGCACAACAGCCCACUAAGGGGCUGAGCGCCCCUCCCACCCCAUCUCACGUAACCUGGAGAGGUGGGGGCGCCUCCCCUAGGGCAGCCACCCCUCCCGGCAUGGGAGGCAAGUUUCCUAGGGGUGGGGGCGCCCAAACCCAUCUAGGGUUUCCCCUGUGGCCGCCGCCCCUCCCCUAGGGAAACCCUAGGGCGCCUCCUCCUCCCCCUUCCCCCUAUAUAUAGUGAGGGAGAGAGAGGGCAGUGGCACCCUUCCCCUGGCGCAGCCCUACUCCUUCCUACACCUCUUCCUCCUCCGUAGUGCUUAGCGAAGCUCUGCCGGAGAACCACGAGCUCCAUCGUCACCACGCCGUCAUGAUGUUGGAGUUCUCCCUCAACUUCUCCUCCCCCUUGCUGGAUCAAGAAGGAGGAGACGUCCCCGGGCUGUACGUGUGUUGAACGUGGAGGCGCCGUCCGUUCGGUGCUAGAUCGGAUCUUCGGCGAUUUGAAUCGCCAUGAGUACGACUCCAUCAAUCGCGUUCUUGUAACGCUUCCACUUAGCGAUCUUCAAGGGUAUGAAGAUGCACUCCCUCUCUCUCGUUGCUAGCAUCUCCUAGAUUGAUCUUGGUGACACGUAGGAAAAUUUUAAAUUAUUACUACGAUCCCCAACACACUGGUGGCGAACUUUGAUGCCCAGUGGAUGUAAUAUGUGUAAUAUCUGUAAUAGGCUAGAGUUAGUAGCUUGCUUAUUUAUUUCCUUAUUGUCUUAUUUAGUUGUUUGUUUGUAGUCAUUGCAGUUCUUUUUCCGUGUUUUUCUAGUGGCCACAAUAACCUAUUUUUGGUAACUGGGCCACAAUAAUCAUGGCAACACACGGACUGUUGUAACCAUGGGCCUCCUACGGGCCGUAGGAUCCAUGGGCCUUCUACGGGCCGUAGGAUCCAUGGGCCUUCUACGGGCCAUAGGAUCCAUGGACUUUCUACGGGCCGUAUGAUCCAUGGGCCUUCUACGGGCCGUAGGAUCCAUUGGUCUUCUACGGGCCGUAGGAUCCAUGGGCCUUCUACGGGGCGUAUAAUCAUUUCGCCAAACAUGGGCCUGUCGGUGUACAAAAGAAGGGGCGCACCUUUGUACCCCUUUACCUGUGCACGGGCAGUCGGAGCCGCGCCCACGGUCACACCAAGCAGAACAGGGUAGGUGAGCCAAGGUAAGACCGAAGCCCAAGAUAACCAGAGCAACGCCAAGGCCAAGACCACAAAGAGCAGAGGGACGAAGCAGUUUCCCCUGGCAAGACCCUUGCUGGGGCAGCCCCGGCAAGACCCUUGCCGAGGCAGCUCGCCCCACACCAACAGAGCGAGCCACCCUUGAGCCCACGGUCCCCAACACCAUCAUCCACGUGGGGCCAGGGCUCGGGAGGCACCUCUGUGGUGGCAUGCAGAUCUUUGUGAAGACAUAUUCAAGAUCAGAUGAGGAUUAGAAGACGAGGAUCCUCGGCAAGAUCCUUGCCGAGGAAAGCCACGAGACCCCCGGCAAGGUCCUUGCCGGGGACGACAGCGCGCCACGGCAAGACCCUUGCUGGGCCACCCGGCAAGGGUCUUGCCGGGUCGCCCGGCAAGGCCCUCACCAAGGAUGCCAGCAGGGCCACCACCAGGACUGCGCCAACCAAGUUCCCACCGUUGUUCGCAUGCACCUGCCAACUCAACCAGCUGAGCAGGCACCUGCGUGGCAACAUGCAGCUCCCGGGCCAACUCGUCAAGCGCCUGCGUGGCGGCAUGCAGAUCUUCGUGAAGGCUCCACCACCGCGCCACCUCAGCUGCCUGCCUGCCUACAUGGCACCGGAUGCCUCACUGGCCAGGGCGCGUGUCGAAGUGAGGAGGAGCAACGACGGACGGGACGGACCUCGCCCCCGUCCCCGAUAAAGCAAGGGGACACCUAAGCUACGCAUUAAAUGUGUCUUGUCCUGUAAUACGAGCGAUAAGCUCAUAGCACUGUGCGCCUUUCCACCUCCUGUGUGCCACCGUGGCAGCCCCUUCCGACUAUAAAAGGAGGCCCAUGGCAUACUGGAGAAGGAUUCGGCUCUUUCGAACCACGCACUCACCACAACUAGUUCGAGAGCUCAAGAACUCUCUGAAAUACAACCACCAAAGCAGGACUAGGGUUUUACGCAUCCUCGCGGCCCGAACCUGGGUAAACGAUCCUUGUGCUGGUUACUAAUCCUGCUCUUCUCGCAACCCUACACCCUGGCAACCAUAAUAGGGAUUCUUGUGAUCCCAUAGGUGUCGUUUCCCCGACAUCUUUGGCGCGCCGGGUAGGGGCGCAAUUGUGAGAAUCUAGUCUAGUAGUUAGCCCAGCAGUUCUUCGUUGCCAUGGCUCCUAAGAAGAAGACAGCCACGGCGAUCGGCUCGUUGGGGGCCGAACGGCCCGUGCCGGUGCGGACGAGAAGUGGACCGGUCGCGGACAGGACCCGGGCCGUGGUCCGCGAGCACCAGCAUCGCCCUGGCAGUCAGAGACUGGCGAGCGGCCUUGUUCGCGCGCCAGACGACCGGCCGCACGUCGCCAGAUCUAAAGACGGAGCUGGGCCCCCCGCAGGCGGCGCGGGGCCCUCCAGGGGUGUUGUUGUGCCACCUCCGGGCGGCGCAGCGACCUCCAAGACGCCCACAUCGGCGACCACUGCAUGCUCUUCCCAUGGUGUGCGCGCCGAGCAGCGUCACCACGCUGGUGACCCUGGGCACCGCUGUGGGAAGAGCCAUGUGCGUCAUCCGCAAGAUGAAGGGGUUCAGCACGCCCGCCGAAGUGCUGGCGAAGAUGGCACGCGGCCGUUGGGUCGUAACGGAGCUCCUUCUAACAUAGUUAGAAGUCAAAGCGCGCCGCGAUCCACGCAGAUGUCGCCGCCGCCCAUGCCAGCAAAAGCUUUGGCGCGCGCGUGGCUGCUCCUCGACUUCCCUCCCGCUGCGGACAAGCUCGACGAGUGGAGGGCCACCAUCCGGAGCCUCGUCGCCGUCGCCAACAAAGAUGAUCCGCGACUGGCAGGGCCCUCGGGUCGGCGCUCCACCGAGCCACCACAUGCUGGCGCUGGGAGGACCGGGGGAGCUGCGGCCACGGUGCACUCUCCUCCUCCUCGCCAGCCGCCGCGGGCGUCGGCCCAUCGUGACGAUGCUUGUGAUAACAUCUCCAUAGCGUCGUCCGACCCACGGACCCUCCGCGACCAGCGCCAGGUCCUUCGGGAACGAGCUCACGAAGACGCUUGAACCAUCCGUCGAACCAUCAACGGGGCAGAACAAGCAGAGGAAGUCAGGUCCCGGCAAGUACUUUCCUAUCGAGCCCCCUAGGACUGUCGGCAAGGGUGCUGCCGCGGACGCUGAGCCCGCCAAAGGGCAACUGGCUCCGGCAGGGCGCCAAGCCCUGGCCAUGGAGACAGCCGCGCCCAUGGCUGAGGAAAUGCCUUUGGUCCUUGCCGUCGAGCCCCAGGCUCCGGCGUGGGCACAACAUACUGUCCGAUUCCUCCAAACAAGGGAACUUCCUGAGGAGCAGGAAGAAGCGGAGAAAGUAGCCCGUCGGUCCGCCCUGUACCAGUUCGUCAUCGACAUCCUGUACAGGAGAAGGCCGAACGGCGUGAAAUUGAAGUGCAUCCCCCGGGAGGAAGGACUGGAGCUGUUGGUGGAGAUACAUGGAGGCAUAUGUGGCUCCCACAUAGGGUCGAGGGCCCUUGCCGGAAAGGCGUUCCGGCAGGGUUUCUUUUGGCCCACCGCCCUCCAGGAUGCGACGGCACUAGUAACCAAGUGUGAAGCGUGUCAGUUCCAUUCAAAGAAGCUUCAUCAACCAGCUCAAGCCCUUCAAACAAUCCCUCUCUCCUGGCCAUUCUCGGUCUGGGGGCUCGAUAUACUGGGCCCUUUCCCCCGCGCUGUCGGGGGCUUUGAGUACUUGUACGUUGCAAUCGACAAGUUCACAAAGUGGCCGGACGUGGAAGCAGUGAGAAAGGUGACUGCUCAAUCAGCUGUCAAAUUCUUCAAGGGACUGGUCUGCCGUUUUGGUGUGCCAAACAGAGUCAUCACCGACAACGGCACGCAGUUCACAAGCCACACCUUCAUGCAAUACAUCCAAGACCUCGGCAGCAAGGUCUGUUUUGCUUCCGUGGCACACCCACGGAGCAACGGCCAAGCAGAGAGGGCAACUGCUGAAGUGUUGUGAGGCCUAAGAGCAAAGACUUUUGACAAGCUGCGCAAGAGCGGAAGGCGCUGGAUUAAUCAAUUGCCAACGGUUCUUUGGUUGAUCAGGACGACGCCAAAUCGAGCCACCAGCCAGACACCUUUUGCCCUAGUCUACGGGGCAGAAGCAGUUCUCCCCAUGGAACUCAUAUACGGGUCACCUCGAGUGCUCGCUUAUGAUGAGCUUCAGCAAGAGCAGUUGCGCCAAGAUGACGCGACGCUCCCUGAGGAAGAUCGUCUUCGGGCGGCUGUGAGAGCAACAUGCUACCAACAAGCCUUGCGACACUACCAUAGCCGCAAGGUUCAUGCCCGAAGCUUUGAGGAAGGCGACCUUGUUCUUCGGCGCGUUCAGUCGGUCAAGAAUUCCAACAAGUUGACGCCAAUGUGGGAAGGCCCUUAUCGGGUAAUACGAGUCACCAGGGCCGGCGCAGUCCGCCUGGAGACCGAAGAUGCUGUCCCAGUGAGCAACUCCUGGAACAUCGAGCAUCUUCGCAAGUUUUACCCAUAAGGCGCGGCUUGCUGGGCCUCCCGGCAAGCCACCUUUUGUACAAGCUUUGCCGGCGAGGCAUGUAACCCUUCGUACAAAGCCAGGCGCAGACCCUGAGCAUAAAUAAAUGAAGCGUUGGCGCCCUAAGUUAUAGCAUGCAUGCUAGGUCGAGUCUCUUCCUUGGUUAGGGUUGAUAGUGCUUGGCGGCGACUAACCCCUAGCUUAGAGGUCGGGUGCGCGUCUUUCUGUCCUUUUCUGUCAUCUUUUGGUUCGCAGGGCACAUGAGCAUUUCUGCUGAGCUACUUGGAAGGAAGGGCAUGGACCGACGUCCUAACCCCGGCAAACCAAAGUUGCCGGGGGCUGCGAGUACAAGGAUCCAACCGUGGCAAGAUGAGGUUGCCGGGGGCUGCAGAUCCAGAUAAGUCUUUCAUCCUCUGUCAUGCAUUUCAGAACAGAACUGGGGCAUGUGAAACCUCGUUUUAUCUUCGGGCAACCGUGCUCCCCUUUUUCCUAUACCUAAGGAUUAUAUCCUAGGUCUGGAUUCGGUUGUAGCCGUGGCGGCAAGGAGGCAGAACGAGGAGCCUGAGCCUACUUCAUCCCUGCCUCCGCCAAGAGCGCGAGAACGGUCGAGUGAAGUAAGGGGGACGGCAAGGCCUGUUGCCGGGCGAAAAAUGUUUAUCUUAAAUAAUAACAAGGAUUCGCUCCUUGUCGCGGGGUCUACCCACGAACGAAAAACCCGACAAACAUCCCUUUUUCAUUAAAAACAUCCCAUGCAGGUACAGUUCAUAUGGAAUGAAAAACAUGAGCAAGGGGAUUACAAGUUCUAAAUUUAACAAAGGCCCGCAGGCUUACGAACUAAAAAAGAGAUAAGAUGUCCGUAAUCCCUUUCUUGUCCCUCUCCUCAGGAGGCAGGUCAAGGAGGAGAGAGGGCAAAAGGGGCGCCUAGGCGAGCUACGAGCAGCAGAAAGCACCAAGAGAACACCUCGGUGGCCGCCCACGGGCGGGCCGGUGAUGACGGUGCCGGGAAAGGAGCUGGAAGACGAGGCGGCAGGACCGGCAAUACGCGAUGAAGGCGUCGGUGCCCGCGUACUCCGAGUUGACGGCCUUGCCGCCCGCCCUCUUCCUCUUCUGCAGUCUCCCGACGCCAGCCGCCCAAGGAGACGGCCCCGAGAAGUUCAAGGAGCUGGCCCCACCCCCGGAAAAACUCUGCCGAAGGAGUGGCCAGGUGCAGAUGCUGCUGCUGCCGCACCCGCCCAGACGCGGGGCGUCCGACGCCUAGUCGGACUCGUCCCCGUCGUCUGCCCCGCUGUCCUCCUCAUCACUUUUGCUCGAGGAAGAGCUUCCAUCGUCGGAAUCUCCGUCGGAGGAGCUCUCCACGCAGCACUUCAGGCGAGUCCCGAAGUCUCCGAAGACCUUGACGGAGAGCAGGUCGUCCUCCAUUAAUUUGAAGUAGAGGACAAGCCCGGCCGUCAGGCUGUGGAUGCGGGCGAACGUCUUCCAUCCGCGGUGGAGGUACAUCACCCGAGGAGCCGGGAAGUCGACGUCGACCCGCGUGCCCCCAUUCCCACAGCCCCUCAUGUGCAAUCUGAGGGAUUGGGGCGGGUCACGCUCCAUCUCCCGAGCGAACGGAGCGGGGAGACAAAGACGGUGACGCGGAGGCCGGCGCAGCCUGAUGAAGAAUUCACGGGGCUGGUCUCCAACAUGGCCUUCUAUCGGAAAAGGCAUCAUUGGCGGGGGCGAAGCCGGCGCGCCGCCCCGUCCUCCUCUUCCCCGAGCACUACGACCUCUGCCCCGGCCUCGCCCACGGCCUCGCCCCCUCCCCCGUCCCCUCGCGGCCGGCUCUACCACCGAGGGCUCAGGAGGGGGGGACGCGCUGUCGAGCGGCGACCCUCGCCGCCACCAUCGAGGGACCAGGAUUCCCUUUCUCCAUGACGAGUGGAAGGAAGAAGCAGAAGCGAGAGAAGAUGGAUGACAGGAGAGUGCGGGACGCCAUCCCCCUUCCCCCUCCUUAUAAAGGGGCGGGGUUGGGGCUCGGCCGCCCCGCUCGACCAAUCCAGCCACUAGAGGCGCAGGGAAUCGGGACCGACCCGCUGCCCCAACCAGCGACGGCCCGGUUUCCCGCCUCCACUGCUUGCCACCCCAAGUGCAUGAAGGAAGCAUGGCGGGCGUGCAGAACCGAGGGGACGGGUGAAGCGACCUCUCCCCACCCCGUGAUCGUGGGGUGUGGACGCCUUGAAGACCGCGACCCGGCCCCAUUCAGUAAAUGAGUCGCGCCUCCACGCCUCCCUCUUUUUACGGGGAAGGCGCGAGUCGCCUCUUUACUGCAAUGUGACGCAUGCGUGCAGAAACCACCCCACGCAUGCCGCCCACGUCACGCGCACCCCUCCACACCACGCCACGCCGCACGCGGGUCGUGGGAAGCGCAGCGCGUGAAAAGUUUACCGCGGUAAAAACCGCCCCGCCUGCCCGCGCACCGUUUUGGGCCUGGCCCAACAACGUGUCGCGCUUAUGUGUGGCCCAGGCCCGGGGGCUCCUGUCAGUGUACAAAAGAAGGGGCGCACCUUUGUACCCCUUUACCUGUGCGUGGGCAGUCGGAGCCGCGCCCACGGUCACACCAAGCAGAACAGGGUAGGUGAGCCAAGGUAAGACCGAAGCCCAAGAUAACUAGAGCAACGCCAAGGCCAAGACCACAAAGAGCAGAGGGAUGAAGCAGGUUCCCCCGGCAAGACCCUUGCCGGGGCAGCCUCAGCAGCCCCGGCAAGACCCUUGUCGGGGCAGCUCGCCUCACACCAACAGAGUGAGCCACCCUUGAGCCCACGGUCCCCAACACCAUCAUCCACGUGGGGCCAGGGCUCGGGAGGCACCUCUAUGGUGGCAUGCAGAUCUUUGUGAAGACAUAUUCAAGAUCAGAUGAGGAUUAGAAGACGACGAUCCUCGGCAAGAUCCUUGCCGAGGAAAGCCACGAGACCCCCGGCAAGGUCCUUGCCGGGGACGACAGCGCGCCACGGCAAGACCCUUGCCGGGCCACCCGGCAAGACCCUUGCCGAGCCACCCGGCAAGGCCCUCACCAAGGACGCCGGCAGGGCCACCGCCAGGACUGCGCCAACCAAGUUCCCACCGUCGUUCCCAUGCAGCUGCCAGCUCAACCAGCUGAGCAGGCACCUGCGUGGCAACAUGCAGCUCCCGGGCCAACUCGUCAAGCGCCUGCGUGGCGGCAUGCAGAUCUUCGUGAAGGCUCCACCACCGCUCCACCUCAGCUGCCUGCCUGCCUACAUGGCACCGCAUGCCUCACUGGCCAGGGCGCGUGUCGAAGCGAGGAGGAGCGGCGACGGACGGGACGGGCCUCGCCCCCGUCCCCGAUAAAGCAAGGGGACACCUAAGCUACGCAUUAAAUGCAUCUUGUCCUGUAAUACGAGCGAGAAGCUCAUAGCACUGUGCGCCUUUCCACCUCCUGUGUGCCACCGUGGCAGCCCCUUCCAGCUAUAAAAGGAGGCCCAUGGCAUACUGGAGAAGGAUUAGGCUCUUUCGAACCACGCACUCACCACAGCUAGUUUGAGAGCUCAAGAACUCUCUGAAAUACACCCACCAAAGCAGGACUAGGGUUUUACGCAUCCUAGCGGCCCGAACCUGGGUAAACGAUCCUUGUGCUGGUUACUAAUCCUGCUCUUCUCGCAACCCUGCGCCCCGGCAACCGUAGUAGGGAUUCUUGUGAUCCCAUAGGUGUCGUUUCCCCGACAGGGCCGUACUAUUCAUGGACCAUAACGGGUCGUUAAUAGGCUGUAUUUGAUAAUGCUAUGAAAACAGCCCAACGGGUUAACAGGCCACAAACGGGUCGAAUGUAACCACAGGCUGAAUUUGGCCCACAAACAGAACAGGCCAGUAACGGACCGUAACUAACCGAAUUCUAGAAAUGAGCCCAAGAAUAAAUGGGCCCUUAGAAGGCCGAAAGUUAACACGGGCUGGAAACGGCCGACGGAAUAAUGGGUCGUUAAUGGAUAUAAAGCAAUACACUGUUCAUUAUGGGCCAGUUUCAUCUCGGGCCUUUAAUGGGCCUAGAGUUACAAAGGGCCUCAUAUGGGCCGAAAGACAUCAUGGGCCAUACAUGGGCCGGAAGUUACAACGGGCCGGAAUCAUAUUGGACGGCCCAGAUGAAGCUACUAGGCUUAAUUCCGAUAGGCCGUAAUGGGCCAGGAGUUAGUGGGCCGUAAAUGGGCUAUAUAUGAACAGGCCGUUAACAGGCUUUCCGUGGGCCGGCCCAUUACCUUUUGACCAAGUCAAACGGGCCGGCCUUUUCACCAGAAUGGGCCUCUGUUGGGUCGUGCCACGUGUCGACGAAUCAUAGGCGCCUCCUGUCCAAUGAGUGGAUGACAUCUGUCCCAACGGUGAGCCAACAUGUGUUUCCUCUGGCCAAUGAGAAUUUUACACAUGGAAAAUCCCCAUUGGUCCGGGCUGUUAACGGGUUAUCGGAUCCAAAACCGGACCCGAUAGCUUAACGGCGACCUGUUAUGGUGGAUGCCACGUGUCGGUCACCCUUGACGAAAGCACUUCUAUGACGCGCGAUUUAUCGUCAUGGAAGUGGACACUUCCGUGAUGAUAAUUUUGGUAAUGUCAUGGAACACUUCUACGACAGCACAGGUAUGACUAUCUUGAUUCUGUCAUAAAAUUGUCAUGGAUGUACAUGCAUGACAGAAAACGUGACCUACUGUGACAAACACGUAUCAUCACGGAAGUGUAUUUUUUUGUAGUGUAGGUUUGAUGGCAUUGAUGUUGUACUUUACGCCAUCCUUCAACUUUUUGGCCAGGCCUCACUGUCCUGCUACCUGUAGAAGAUUUGCUCGAUCCGGAGGGCUGAAAGAAGAAAGAUCGAUUCAUUAAUAUAUCUUCAAAUCAUUUAAAACAUGUGAUGAUCACCAGAUGCCUGCUUAUAUAAUUAUACCUCGCCGGUCUCUGUUAUUUCAAGAUCAACAUUUUCUUCGUCAUCAUAAUCAUAGUUCUGGACUUCAUCUAUUCGUUCGUCUUCAUCAAAUAUCAUACCCUCACCGGUAGGGUUCAGAUAUUGCGAGCUGUCAUCUUCUUCAAACUCAUCUGGGCGAGGGGAUGAGCGUAUGAUGUUGAACAGGGCCUCCUCUCCUUCUUUUUCGGUAUUGUCCAUAGCUUUUAUUUAACUAAUCCAGAAGAAAUAUAAAAAAAUUGUAUUUAAAUUACAAUGCAUGCAUGCAUUCAAUAAGGAAAAACUGAAUCACGGUACAUAAUAUGCAUCAUCGAAUAUAAUCUCGAAUACAUCGUCUCGAAUGUAAUCGAAUAAUAUAUAUAAUCUCGAAUACAUCGUCUCGAAUAUUAUCAAAUAAUAUAUAUAAUCUCGAAUACAUUGUCUUGAAUAUUAUCGAAUAAUAUAUAUAAUCUCGAAUACAUCAUCUCGAAUAUUAUAUAUCGAAUACAUCACUAGCUAGCUAGCUAAUAUAGAUCGAAUACUAUCGAAUAAUCUAGUUCAGUCGCGGUUCUUGAGGCGCGGGCGGUGGACACCCAAAGAGAAGGAACCAUCGCAGGAUCAUAGCUCGGGUGAGAUCCCCGAAGAACCUGCUAGGUAUUGGAGAACCUGACGUCCAUAGCAGCCAUGUAGCGACGGACGUGCUCGUCCUCCUCCCUAACACGGCGACGUACCACCUCCGGCGGGGCCGGCUCCCUCCGCACCAAAAGUGGUCCACGCGAAUGCCACCAAAGGAGCUCCGGGUCGACGACGGGACCCGGGGCCGAGUUCCUCACCAAGCGGCGCGCACCUGAAGGUAGCACCUCCCAGUGCCAGCCCGGCGGAGCCCAGUCCCGGACAUGGCUCCUGUGAAGCAGGACAUCGUCGCAAACGGGUCGACGACGAGGAUGCGGGCCGGGCAUCGUUCACAUAUAAAAAACUAAAAAUAUAAGAUUUCUAAAAAAUAUUUAUAUAUCUAAUUAACAUUUAUAUAUCUAAAAAUCAUCUAACAUUUCUAUAACUAAAAGUAUAAAAAAACUUUAAAAAAACAUGCAUCUAACAUUUUUAUAUCUAAUUCAUCUAACAUUUAUAUAUAUAUAUAACUAAAAGUAUCAAAUUCCUUAACUUUUUUCUAUAUACAUCUAAUCAUCUAGUGAAAGAAAAUGUCAAAAUUCAUCUAACUAACAUUUCUAUAUCUAAAAUUCANNNNNNNNNNNNNNNNNNNNNNNNNNNNNNNNNNNNNNNNNNNNNNNNNNNNNNNNNNNNNNNNNNNNNNNNNNNNNNNNNNNNNNNNNNNNNNNNNNNNNNNNNNNNNNNNNNNNNNNNNNNNNNNNNNNNNNNNNNNNNNNNNNNNNNNNNNNNNNNNNNNNNNNNNNNNNNNNNNNNNNNNNNNNNNNNNNNNNNNNNNNNNNNNNNNNNNNNNNNNNNNNNNNNNNNNNNNNNNNNNNNNNNNNNNNNNNNNNNNNNNNNNNNNNNNNNNNNNNNNNNNNNNNNNNNNNNNNNNNNNNNNNNNNNNNNNNNNNNNNNNNNNNNNNNNNNNNNNNNNNNNNNNNNNNNNNNNNNNNNNNNNNNNNNNNNNNNNNNNNNNNNNNNNNNNNNNNNNNNNNNNNNNNNNNNNNNNNNNNNNNNNNNNNNNNNNNNNNNNNNNNNNNNNNNNNNNNNNNNNNNNNNNNNNNNNNNNNNNNNNNNNNNNNNNNNNNNNNNNNNNNGGCGGCGGGCGGCGCGACGGGGGACGGCGUGGGCAGCGCGUCGGGGGCGGCGACGGCGUCGAUCGGGGCAGGCGGUGCGUCGUCGACAGAGAGGAAGAAACAGAGGAAGAACAGGGAGAAACUGAAUUUUUUUUCAAGUGUUGUAUAUAUAGGAUGGACCUUUAGUACCGGUUGGAGCCACCAACCGGUACUAAAGGUCUGUUUUGGCCAGGCCAAGCAGCGGGAAGCGCACCCCUUUAGUACCGAGUGGUGGCUCCAACCGGUACUAAAUACCCCCCCCUUUAGUAUCGGUUGGAGCCACGACCCGGUACUAAAGGGGUGCGCUGGCGCAGGUGCAGUGCGGGCAAGUUUAGUCCCACCUCGCUAGCCGAGGGGCGCCCGCACCAGUUUAAAAGCCCCUGCGCGGCUGUUGUCUCGAACUCCUCUCUAUAGUAGGCUUCUAGGCCUAUCUCUGCCGCGCUGCCCUGUGGGCCUACUGGGCCUUGCGGGCCUGCAUCCUGACCCAACUACAAGUUGGGUUUCUAGUCGUAUGCAGGCCGCUGUGGCCGAGUAGGCGGGCUUUUUUAUUGAGUUUUUUUUCUUUUCUGCUUUAUUUAUUUUAUUUUAUUUAUUUCUGAGUUGUCUUUUGCUGUAUUUAGAGUUUCUUUGUGAAUAUUUUUGCUUUAGGUACAAAAAAUUACAAACUUUCUGUUAGUGCCAGUAGUUUUCAAAUUUGAAUAAUUUGAAAUUUGUGUGAAUCACUAGUUUGUGAAUAACUUAACUUUAAAAAUAGAUUUUCCAGUGAUUCUUUUUUCUUAUGUUUAAUAUUAGUGUGUUUUAUCAUUAUAUUCAAUUUGUUAAUACUUAGGUUAUUUAAAAAAUGAAAUGCCUUUGUAACAGAUGAGUUUUCGUCCGAAACCCUGAUACUUCGAAAGAGAUUGUCCAUUUUGUACACGAAGUGCAUCCAGUUUUUGCCGUAACCCUCUCAACUUUUUUGCACAUGCUGUGUGGGUGAAAUGAUGAUACCAUGCCAACUUUCAACCUUUUCAGAGUUCAUUUGUACUGCUUUCCAAUUUCAGGGUCAUUUAGCUCAAAAAAUCAGUAAAUGCAUGAAAAAUAGCAAAUGAUGUGAGAAAUGGUUGAAAGUUGAUGUUGCUUUGAAUGGUGCAUACUGAACGCACAAAAAAUCUGGAGUUGUAAUAGGUUUAAAAAAUGAAAUGCCUUUGUAACAGAUGAGUUUUCGUCCGAAACCCUGAUACUUCGAAAGAGAUUGUCCAUUUUGUACACGAAGUGCAUCCAGUUUUUGUCGUAACCCUCUCUAAUUUUUUGCACAUUCUAUGUGGGUGAAAUGAUGAUACCAUGCCAACUUUCAACCUUUUCAGACUUCAUUUGUACUGUUUUUCAAUUUCAGGGUCAUUUAGCUCUAAAAAAUCAGUAAAUGAGCUGAAAAUAGCAAAUGAAGUCAGAAAGGUACACGUUUGUCCGAAGCACAAAAGUACACGUUUCAAAUGCCAAAACACAUAAGCACCCUAACUAUUACAAAGAUUCCCUACGGUUUGUCCAAAGUGGGACUUUCCAGAUAUACAAGUCCGGAAACUCACUAGAGAAGAAAGUGAUGACAGUGAAGCCGAUCACAUCCCAGAGUGGGAUCUUCAGGUGUGAAACUUUUUCUUUGCGUGUGUCCCUUUGCGCCGUAACCAUGGAUAAUCUUCAUCAUUUAACUGGAUGCUCGGGUCAAUAUUCACUGUGAAUGGAGCAAUUUCAUCAAACUUUUCAUAAUCUUCUGACAUGUUUGUCUUGUCAUCCACUCCCACGAUGUUUCUUUUCCCUAAAAGAACUAUGUGGCGCUUUGGCUCAUCGUAUGAUGUAUUUGCUUCCUUAUCUUUUCUUUUUCUCGGCUUGGUAGACAUGUCCUUCACAUAGAAAACCUGCGCCACAUCAUUGGCUAGGACGAAUGGUUCGUCUGCGUACGCAAGAUUGUUGAGAUGCACUGUUGUCAUUCCGUACUGCAGGUCUUCCAUUACCACGCCUCGUUUCAUAUUGACCCAUUUGCACCGAAACAAAGGGACCUUCAAACCACGUCCAAUAUUCAAGUUCCCAUAUGUCCUCUAUGUAACCAUAAUAUGUGUCCUUUCCCCUCUUGGUUGGUGCUCUUCUUAUCUUGGGCGAUCGUGUAAAAUGUAUUCCCAUUUAUCUCGUACCCUUUGAAAGUCAUUAUAUUCGAAGAUGGUAACUUGGACAGCAAGUACAGGUCAUCUUCAACAGCGGCGUCAUGCAUGGCACGUGUCUGCAACCAACUGGCGAAAGUCCCCGUUUGUUCACGUGUAAUCCAGUCGUCAGACUGCUCCGGGUGUUUGGAGCAUAGAAAAUUCUUGUGUUCCUCCAUAUACGGAGCCACCAAGGCGGAAUUUUGUAGAACUGUGUAGUGUGCUUGAGUGAGAGAAUGCCCAUCCAUACAUAUUAUUUGUUCCGGUCCUAGCGUGCCAUUUCCACCCAGUCUGCCCUUGUGCCGCGAUUCAGGAACACCAAUCGGCUUAAGGUCAGUAAUAAAGUCAAUACAAAACUCAAUGACCUCAUUUUCAUGGCCCUUGGAGAUGCUUCCUUCUGGCCUAGCAUGGUUAUGAACAUAUUUCUUUAAGACUCCCAUGAACCUCUCAAAGGGGAACAUAUUGUGUAAAAAUACAGGACCCAGAAUGUUAAUCUCUUUGCAUGUGAACUAGGACGUGCGUCAUGAUGUUGAAGAAGGAUGGUGUGAACACCAACUCGAAACUGACAAGACAUUGCACCAAACCAUUCUCUAACCUUAGGUUUUGGAACUUUUUCUCUGCCAUAUUUAUUAUUCCCUUUAUAUUCGAUGAGAAGCCAGACGGGACCAUCAUACUGAGCAGGCAUUCAAAGAAGAUUUCCUUCUCUUCUUUGGUAAGAGCGUAGCUGGCAUGACCCUGGUGUAUGUCGUCUUUGCCAUGCAUACGUUGUUGGUCCUCCCGUGCCUCCGGUGUAUCUUUUGUCUUCCCAUACACGCCCAAGAAGCCAAGCAGGGUCACGCAAAGAUUCUUCGUCACGUGCAUCACGUCGAUUGCGGAGCGGACCUCUAGGUCUUUCCAAUAGGGCAUGUCCCAAAAUAUAGAUUUCUUCUUCUACAUGGGUACGCGCUCGUCAGCGUCAUUCGGAACAGAUUGUCCGCCAGGACCCUUUCCAAAGAUUACCUUCAAAUCCUUGACCAUAUCAUGUACAUCAUCACCAGUACGGUGGCGAGGCUUCGUCUGGUGAUCUGCCUCACCUUUGAAAUGCUUGCCUUUCUUUCUUACGGGAUGCCUGCUCGGAAGAAAUCGACGAUGUCCCAGGUACACAUUCUUCCUACAAUUAUCCAAAUAUAUACUGUCGGUAUAAUCCAAACAGUGCGUGCAUCCGCGGUAUCCCUUGUUUGUCUGUCUUGAAAGGUUACUGAGAGCAGGCCACAUUGAUGGUCACGAACAACAACGCCUGUAGGUCAAAUUCUUCCUGUUUGUGCUCAUCCCACGCACGUACACCUUUUCCAUUCCACAACUGUAAGAGUUCUUCAACUAAUGGCCUUAGGUACACAUUGAUAUGUCUCCAACGUAUCUACUUUUUCUCACGCUUUUCCUCUUGUUUUGGACUCUAAUUUGCAUGAUUUGAAUGAAACUAACCCCAGGCUGACGCUGUUUUCAGCAAAACUACCAUGGUGUUGUUUUUGUGCAGAAAUAAAAGUUCUCAGAAUGAAAUGAAACUUUGCAAGGAUUUUUUAUGGAAUAAAAGAGAAUUUCUAGAGCCAAGACCCACCGGAGAGGGCCCCUGGGUGGGCACAACCUACCAGGGUGCGCCCCCCUCUCCUGGCGCGCCCAGGUGGGUUGUACCCACCUAGUGGCCCUGCAGACGACCCUCCUAACGCUAUAAAAUCACAUAUUUCCUGGAAAAAAAUCAGGGAGAAAGAAUUAUCGCGUUCCACAAGACGGAGCCGCCGCCAAGCCCUGUUCUUCCUCGGGAGGGUAGAUCUAGAGUCCGUUUGGGGCUCCGGAGAGGGGGGAUCUUCGUUCUUCGUCAUCACCAACCAAUCUCCAUCGCCAAUUCCAUGAUGCUCCCCACCGGGAGUGAGUAAUUCCUUCGUAGGCUCGCUGGUCGGUGAGGAGUUGGAUGAGAUUCAUCAUGUAAUCGAGUUAGUUUUGUUAGGGCCUGAUCCCUAGUAUCCACUAUGUUCUUAGAUUGAUGUUGCUAUGACUUUGCUAUGGUUAAUGCUUGUCACUUUGGGCCCGGGUGCCAUGAACUCAGAUCUGAACCGUUUAUGAAUUCAUCAUUAUAUCCAUGUUUUAGAUCCGAUCUUGCAAGUUAUAGUCACCUACUACGUGUUAUGAUCCGGCAACCCCGGAGUGACAACAACCGGGCCCACUCCCGGUGAUGACCGUAGUUUGAGGAGUUCAUGUAUCCACUAUGUGUUAAUGCUUUGUUCUGGUUCUCUAUUAAAAGGAGGCCUUAAUAUCCCUUAGUUUCCAAUAUGGACCCUGCUGCCACGGGAGGGUAGGACAAAAGAUGUCAUGCAAGUUCUUUUAAUAAAGCACGUCUGACUAUUUACGGAAUACAUGCCUACAUUAUAUCGAUGAACUGGAGCUAGCACCGUAUCGCCCUAGGUUAUAACUGUCACAUGAUGAAUAUCAUCCAACAAGUCACCGAUCCAAUGCCUACGAAUUUAUUUAUAUUGAUCUUGAUGAGUUACUACUACUAUCAUCACUGUUACACUUGCUACAAAAAUACUGCUAUCACUGUUACUGUUACCGUUGCUCCUGCCACUACUAUCAAAACUAUCAAACUACUUUGCUACUGAUCACUUUGCUGCAGAUAAUUAAUCUCCAGGCGUGGUUGAAUUGACAACUCAGCUGGUAAUAUCUUCAAAUAUUCUUUGGCUCCCCUUGUGUCGAAUCUAUAAAUUUGGGUUGAAUACUCUACCCUCGAAAACUGUUGCGAUCCCCUAUACUUGUGGGUUAUCAAGACCUUUUUCUAGCGCCUUUGCCGGGGAGCAUAGCUAUAUUUGUUGAGUCACUUGGGAUUAUUAUCAAUUUGUCACUAUGAAGAAUCUGAAGGAUCCAAAGACUAAGAUAUUUCCCUCAAAGACGAGGGGAGGUAAGGAACUGCCAUCCAGUUCUGCUUUAGAUUCACCUUCUGUUAUGAGUAAACUCGGAACACCAAAACAUGCUAUCAAUUCUAAUAUGUCGCAAGUUAUUGAUGAUGCUACUUCUACUAUGAAUGAUGCUUAUGAUGAUGCUAGUACCAUGCUUGAUAAUGAUGAUGUGCCACUUGGUGAAUUUCUUGAUGAACAAAUUGCUAGAGUAAUACAACAUGAUGUUGUUGAAUCUGAUGAUGAGCUUGAAACUGAAACUCCUAAAACACCUGCUAGAACUAGCCUUCCUAGAUAUGAAUUGCCUAAGGUACCGGAAGGUUAUGUUAUGAAUGAGGAGACAACUAGAGAUAUUCUUGCUUGUAAGGAUAGAGAUGAUCUAGAGAAAUUACUAUACAAGUAUAAAGAAAAGUCUCUGAAUGCUAGAAUGAAAUGUGAUCCUAAGUUUGCUAGUUCACCUAUCUUUAUUGAUGAUAAGGAUUAUGAAUUCUCUGUCGACCCAGAGUUAAUUACUUUGGUUGAAUCUGAUCCUUUCCAUGGUUAUGAAACUGAAACUGUUGUGGCACAUCUUACUAAGUUGAAUGGCAUAGCCACCCUUUUUACUCAUGAUAAGAAAACUCGCUAUUACUUUAUUCUGAAAUUAUUUCCUUUCUCAUUAAAGGGUGAUGCUAAAGCUUGGUGCCAUACUCUUACUCCUGGUUAAGUGCGUAGUCCCCAGGAUAUGAUUUAUUACUUCUCUGGAAAAUAUUUUCCUGCUCAUAAGAAACAAGCUGCCUUACAAGAAAUAUUUAACUUUGUGCAAACUAAAGAAGAGAGUCUUCCACAAGCUUGGGGGAGGCUUUGCCAGUUACUUAAUGCUUUGCCUAAUCAUCCUCUUAAGAAAAAUGAAAUACUUGAUAUCUUCUAUAAUGGACUAACCGAUACUUCUAGGGACUUCCUAGAUAGUUGUGCUGGUUGUGUUUUCAGGGAACGAACUAUUGCUCAAGCUGAAGAAUUAUUGAAUAACAUAUUAAAAAAUUAUCUACCCUCGAAAACUGUUGCGAUCCCCUAUACUUGUGGGUUAUCAGACAUCAAUGUCGUUGCCGGGUUGCUUAGGGCCUUGGAUGAGCACUGGCAUCAUAAUGAACUUCCGCUUCAUGCACAACCAAGGAGGAAGGUUAUACAUACAUAGAGUCACAUGCCAGGUGCUAUGGUUGCUGCUCUGCUCCCCAAAAGGAUUAAUGCCAUCUGCACUUAGACCAAACCAUACGUUCCUUGUGUCACCUGCAAAGUCCUCCCAGUACUUUCUCUCUAUUUUUCUCCACUGCGACCCGUCAGCGGGUACUCUCAACUUCCCGUCUUUCUUAUGGUCUUCUCCGUGCCAUCGCAUCGACUUGACAUGCUCUUUGUUUUGGAACAAACGUUUCAACCGUGGUAUUAUAGGAGCAUACCACAUCACCUUAGCAGGAAUCUUCUUCCUGGGGCGCCCGCCCUCGACAUCACCAGGGUCAUCGCGGCUGAUCUUAUAGCGCAAUGCACCGCAUAUCGGGCACGCGUUUAAAUCCUCCUACUCACCGCGGUAGAGGAUGCAGUAAUUAGGGCAUGCAUGUAUCUUAUUCACCUCUAACCCUAGAGGGCAGACAACCUUCUUUGCUUCGUACGUACUCUCGGGCAAUUCAUUGUCCUUUGGAAGCAUCUUCUUUAACAUUAUCAGCAACUUUCCAAAUCCCUUGUCAGAUACACCAUUCUCUGCCUUCCAUUGCAGCAAUUCCAGUGUGGUGCCCAGCUUUUUCUUGUCAGCUUCGCAAUUCGGGUACAACAAUUUCUUGUGAUCCUCUAACAUGCGCUGCAACUUCUUCUUCUCCUUUUCACUUGCGCAGUUUCUCUUUGCGUCGGCAAUGGCCCGACCUAGGUCAUCAGCGGGCUCAUCUAAUGCCUCUUCUUCAGCUUCUUCCCACAUUGCCGGCUCAGCUUCUUCCCCCAUUGUUGUACCAUCGUAUUCAGGGAACCCAUGGCCAGGAUAGCUGUCGUCGUCCUCUUCUUCUUCAUUGUCUUCCAUCAUAACCCCUCUUUCUCCGUGCUUGGUCCAAACAUUAUAGUGGGGCAUGAAACCGGACUCAAACAGGUGGACGUGAAUGGUUCUUGACUUAGAGUAAUUCUGAUCAUUCUUACAGCCAGCACAUGGACAAGGCAUAAAACCAUCCGUCCUCUUGUUUGCCUCUGCCGCAAGCAGAAAAGUUUGCACGCCAUUAACGAACUGGGGAGAGCAUCGGUCAUCGUACAUCCAUUGCCGGCUCAUCUUCAUUACACAGCACCGAAUAGACCAAAUUAAUACAAGUUCAUACAUAAAGUUCAUACAACACUUAAAUGCAACAUACAAAUAACUUUUUAGCUAAAGCAUUUAAAUGCAACAACAAAUGCGAUCAAGAUCGCAACUAAGGUAACAAUUGAUCCAACAACAUGAUGAUACCAAGCCUCACUAUCAAUGGCAUAUUUUCUAAUCUUUCUAAUCUUCAAGCGCAUUUUCUCCAUCUUGAUCUUGUGAUCAUCGACGACAUCGGCAACAUGCAACUCCAAUUCCAUCUUCUCCCCCUCAAUUCUUUUCAAUUUUUAUUUCAAAUACUCGUUUUCUCUUUCAACUAAAUUUAUCCUCUCGACAAUAGGGUCGGUUGGAAUUUCCGGUUCACAUACCUCCUAGAUAAAAAUAUCUAUGUCAACUUGAUGGGCAUAAUUUGUCAUAAACACAAAAUGCAAUAAAUAGUUAUAAAAGAGAAUAUACCACAUCCGAAUCAUAACCCGGACGAGUGCCGACGGGGACGAAUAUCAAAACCAUGGCACUAUGUAUAACAAACAACGUACGGGUAAGAUAAUUAUGAGUAACUAUAUAUCUAAAUCACACAAACAUGAUUUUUUAUAUAAAAAAGAUAAGAACAAGAGGCUCACCACAAGGUGGUGCUGGCGACGGGACGGUGCGGGUGAUCGAUGGUGGUUAGGACGGAGACGGGAGGCACUAAGUAAACCACACCUACAUAUGCAAACUAGGAGUUAUUUUAACCUCAAAUUGCAUAUAAAUCAAAUACCACCACAUAUAAUUCCUCCCAAAAUAAAACCCACAAAUCACUAUACUUAUAGAGCAUUGCAAGAGCUAAUAUAGCAAUGAGAGAUGAAAGGACAAAGUUGCUAACCUUUGUGAUCACUUGGAUGGCCUUCAAAUCUUCACAAAUUUUGGCAAAAAUGGAGUGUGAGCUCGAGAGGAAGAGGAAGAAAACAGAGGAGAGGGGAAGGGGGAAGAACAGUGCGCUCGGGCUCGACGAAGGGGUUUAUAUAGGAUGACCUUUAGUACCGGCUGGUUAUACGAACCGGGACUAAAGGUGCAUCUCUAGUCCCGGUUCAUAUAACCAACCGGUACUAAAGGUGCUGGUGGGGCCCCAGCCUAACACAAGCCUGCCACCACGUCUUUAGGACCGGUUCGUGGCAUGAACCGGUACUAAAGGUUCGCCACGAACCGGUACUAAUGAUCGCCGCCCGCCUAGCCGUUGGAACCGACACUAAUGAGCACAUUAGUGUCGGAUCAGUUACAAACCGAGACUAAUGUGCUUCACAUUAGGCCCUUUUUCUACUAGUGGUGCUUCGCACGGCGGUCAUGGCGGCUUCCUGGCUUUGCGGCGGUAAUCGACGGCCCCAUGGCCGGCGGGGGUACUCCGGUGGGCUCCUUGGCUCUGCGAUGGGCGGCGACGACGGCCGUGGAUCUGGCAUCCCAGCCAGAUCCGUCAUCGAUCCUUCACGUGGAUGCUCGGCGGCGCGAUGAGGGCUCCGAUGAGGGGAUGGAGGAUCUCCACCAGAAUACCGGCGACGGCAUAUGUCUUCAUGGCGAGGCUUCGCGCGGUUCCACCCAGCCGCGAGAUCGGGACGACGUGACUUCCGGUGAAAAUUACGACUGACUGUUGUCUUGGCGGACGAUGGCGGCGUCUUUGACAUUGUUUCCUUCUCGAGGCAUCGUCGUUCUAGGUCACGUCAACUCGAUUGGGAUAUUAUGGGGAAAAUCCUAGAUCUUGAUCUACCGGAUCGGAUGAUGACGACGCCUUUGGUGUCGUUCUCCCUUCUGGGGGCAUCAUUUUGGAGUAAGUGCUGGCUGGAGGGUACAAGAGCUUGUACAUUCCCCAUUCUCACACAACAUGUCAUACUGCAAAUGUAUAAGACCAAAAUAGAAUGUACAUUCAACUUGGUAAACAAAGUACUACUACAAUAUUUCCAUUUAAAAAAAAGUACUACCAUAUGAAGUUGAAAGUGUCAAUUAGGGACAACAUGACAAACUUACAGAUACAAACUACAACAAAAUAUAGAAUAACCACAUGAAAAUAAAACCUCCACUAUACAUUAUUAUGAAAGCAGACACCACAAGAAGCUAUGAGAUUUAGAUGACAACAUGAACUACCGCAACACCUGCUUAAUUACUCGGUGUAACCAAGAAAAAAAGUCAUGCAUUGGAGUACAGAAGACCGUGUUGCUACUUUUAUGUUCAAGGGUAUACUGGCAAACCAGAACACUGCUUAAUUUCUUCCAUCAAUAUGUCUUUAGCUUUCUUGCACACUACUCAGACCUGCACAAGAAACAUUUAUAAGAUGUUGAUAAUGCAACCUGACUACCCAAGACCCGAGUGAGUUUUUGUCCACACCGAGGAUAAUAAAGCAAUGAAAACAUUACACUCUUCUCUCAAAUUGGUUAGGACCAAAAGGAAGUCAAGGCCAAGUAAACCAGCAUCUCGCUAGUAUUGGCAACAUCUUGCUUAGUUAUCAAUGUGUCAAGGCCAAGUUAAGACCGUUUUUUCCAACAACAGCAAGCCUUGAUCAGAAUCCUUCAAGGGGGUGGGGGCAAGGAUGAUAAUUCGUCUAGGGGUAAUAUGAACACAUUGAUGUUGCUGCUCCUUGAAUGGGAUUUCCAGCUUGUGCCAGAAAUGAGUUCUUUCUCAAUUGAGAAGAAGCUUUUUAGGUCUCCUCGUGGUUCCUCUCGAUUCUACAUCUUCAUGAACAAAACAAAAUCAGAAGACAUCUCCAUGUUACAUGAAGCAAGACAAAGAAAGAAACUGCAAAAAAUAUUGAGUCAAGUACACAAGAUUUUUCUUAUGUGUAAAAUCUAGACAGAAAUAUGUGCAGUGCAGAACCAGAGGAACCAAGGUAGCCGACUUACAAAGCUUUUGAGAGACCUCAUGUGUGGACCUGGUAAGGCCUUUCAAACCACCCGCAUUUUAUCUUUGGCCUACUUCCUUGCUGUAUUUGUCCUAACCAAAGAGAUACAUAAUAUAACCACACACUCAGUCAUGUAAAAAAAGAGCUUGGAAAUCCAUAAAACUGCAUAUUUGUAGCAAAGAGAGAACCACCCAAAGGCAGACGUAAACAUGUGUGUAUAGGGGUUAACUCAAAAGAGAAAACUACAUGUGUGUAGAGGGGUUAACUCAAAAGUACUGUAAAAUGGAGGCAGGAGACACGAGAGUGCAUUUUUUCUGAGAAAAGAUCGAAAAACAAUUGAACUCAAAUCCCGCCACGGAGAAAGUCAUGCGCGCGCGCGGGGGCCGAAACCCGUCCGCUCCCCGCCCACCUACUUCCCGCCACGUCAGCGAUCCGUGCCGGGGCGCAUCUGGGUCCUCCAUCGCGCACCGCGACGAACGGCAGAUAUCCUAUCGAUCCGCGGCACCCACCCCUCCACCAAUCAGAGCCGGCCUCCCCCUCCUAUAAAUCCACCGCGCCCCCGCCCUCAAUCCUCCACCAUUCCUCCCACCUUCAAGCUCAUCCACACAAGCACCUCUCGGCUCUCCCGGUCGAAGCAUCCGCAUCCUCAUCCAUGGCCCCCAAGGCAGCCGAGAAGAAGCCGGUGGAGAAGACCCCGGCGGGGAAGAAGCCCAAGGCGGAGAAGAAGGUGCCGGCGUCCAAGGAGGGCGGCGGCGACAAGAAGGGCAAGAAGAAGGCCAAGAAGAGCGUGGAGACGUACAAGAUCUACAUCUUCAAGGUGCUGAAGCAGGUGCACCCGGACAUCGGCAUCUCCUCCAAGGCCAUGUCCAUCAUGAACUCCUUCAUCAACGACAUCUUCGAGAAGCUGGCCGGCGAGUCCGCCAAGCUGGCGCGCUACAACAAGAAGCCCACCAUCACGUCCCGCGAGAUCCAGACCUCCGUCCGCCUCGUCCUCCCCGGCGAGCUCGCCAAGCACGCCGUCUCUGAGGGCACCAAGGCCGUCACCAAGUUCACCUCCGCCUGAUCUGGCCGUCUCCGUUUGUCUUCUUUGAUGGAUGUAUCGGUGUUGCUCUGUAGUAGUUAGCUGUUCGUGCUCUGUCGUGUUGUAGCUUGUGCUGGUUGUUUUGGAUCACAUUUCAUGAUCCGGAGAAAUAGUAAUUUCAGUUCUUGAUAUGAUCCGCUACUUUGUCUUGGUUCGAUCUGUGGUGCGAGCUCGC